UUUUUUUAUUUAUUUAUUUUUUUUUUUUUUGAAAAAGAACAAUUUCCAAUGUUUUAAAAACCGGACCGGACCGGCCGGUCCAACCGGUUCAACCGUCGACCGGUCGCAUUUCCGGUCCGGUCCACCCUAUUAAACCGUUUAACCAUUGGACCGGUUACGAACCGCCUGAACCAGCGGUCGAACCGGUGAACCGGUAGAACCGGACGGUUCUAAACGAACCGAACAGUCCAUAUUGGCCCACCAUUUUACAAGCCCAAUGUAUACAAAUUAAAAGCUGCAGGCCAAAAACCAAGCCCAAUGUACAAAAAUUAAAAGCUGCAGGCCAAACACCAUACUGGGCCAUGUCUUAGCUUGACAAAGCCCACACCCAAACCCUUUAAGGAGGCUCGGUCUUGAGCCCACAAGGUGAGCGUGCUGUAGCUUUCACUGAGGAGGAUGCCUUUUAUAGGCAUCCUUUGCACCUUUAUUUUUCUCACAAACCGAUGUGGGAUUGCAUAUGAUAAUAUCAAUGAAAAAGCCAAAAAGGUUUAACAAAUGCAACAAGAGGAUUUGAAGCUGGGACCUUGGGUUUUGUAAGUAAGCUAAGACACCACUCGGCUACCAGCGUUUUGUUAUUUGAUAUGCCAAACAAAACAAUAAAUAUUGGAUUUUAAUUUUUUUUAUAAUAUUAAAUAAAAAUAAUAUAAUAUUUUUAAAAAUUAUAAAAUUAGUUAAAUUUUUCAUUUUUAAUAUAUUCACAUUUAAAUAUUAUAUACAUUUCAUUUAAUUUGAUAAUAUCAAAUAUAUAAAAUAAUAUUAUUGAUUUUUAAUUUAUUCAUAUAUAUUUUAAAAUUUUUAUAAUUAAUUUUAAUUUUAAUAAUAUAUAAAUUACAUAUUUAUGACAUCACCGGUUCGACCGCGGUUCGACCACCGGUUCGACCGGUGAACCGUGAACCGGUAACUUUUCCGGUUCAAUGACCGGUCCGGUUCUGAAAACAUUGACAAUUUCACAUAUUAUUUUUCACCCAAAAAAGGUAAAAGGACUUACAAUCAAAACGACACCGUUUUUGAUUGACUUCAGUGACACAUCUAGGGUUUGCUCGGUGAAACUUCAUACCUAUAAAUGUCUGCGGUGUGAAUUGUGUCAAAACCCCUAAACCCUAACCCUAAUUUGAGAUCAGUCAAUCAUGGACAAGAGCAUGCUAGGAGAUCUGGACUCUCUUCCUGAGGAAGAUAAGCUUCGAAUGUCUGUCAUGAUCGACCAGCUUCAGAUCCGCGACAGGUUCGUCCUUUCCUUUUAUAUGUGUUUUGGCAAUACUCGAGAGUCGUGUUAGAAAUUGUGGAUUUUGCGAUGCCAAGAAGUCUAUUCUGGCCAUUUCUCCUGAAGCAAAUAUGAGAGUUUUAUCUGAAAUUUUGAAUUAUUUUGGUUUAUUUCGGGGUAUUUUGUAUGUAGAUAUUGAAUCUAUUGUGCAAUUUCGAGUGUUGAUAUGUGAAUCCAAUGGGCAAUAUCGAGAAUGUCUACGAGAUAAAUUGUUUCAGAUGAACCCUUGUUUGAAUUUUCUUUUCCUUAAUUGAAGAUAGAAAUCAUAUUUUUCGAUAGUUCUACACUGUACUGUGAUAUAUAGGUUAGGGCUCCCUUGUAGCCUACACGUUUCUAUUUCAUGCGGCGUUGCUGAUUGAAUAAUGGAUCCAUUGUCCAUCAGCUCGGCAUUACUUAGCUUCAUAGAGAAGAGAUUCUGAUGGUUCCAUAGUCCUUACACUGGUACAUUGUGUAAGAUUGAUUGCAAUACAUACGUGUUACUGGCCUGAGGCAUUUGUUUUUCUGAGGCUAUGUUUAGUUUUUGGAAAAUUUGAGUAGGGAAAGAAAUAGAAAGGAAAAGUAGAAGGAAAGAAAAAGUCAAGGAAAAUAGAUAAUAGAUUUAAAGUUGAUAAAUUAUUUUUAUAUAUUAUUUCAAACUUAUUUCACUUUUUUUUUAAUUCUUUAAUACAAAGAUGAAAUAAUUUGAAAAUGUUUAAAUUUCUAAUUAAUUUCUAUUAUAUUUGAUUUUCUUUGAUAUUUUUCAUGGUAUAACCAAACAUAAGAAAAUAAUUUUUCUUAGCACUUUUUUCACUUUCUUGGUACUUUUUGGGAGCCAAAGACAACCUUAGUGCUUGUUGCUUAGUCUUUAUGUUACCACUUCACAUAAUGGCUUUAUGCCAUGUUGGUUGCAAGGUUAACCUUUUUUGUGACAUUGAUAAUGUGAAGCCAGAAUAAUGUUCUCCUUAAAACCAGUGCAACAUGUGUUGCAAUUGGACGUUUUGGGAACAACACUCCUGUUGAAAACUAUUUUGAAGACAAAAUAGAAGGAAAAAAACCAGUAGCAGUGACUAUGAUGGACUCUAAAAUGUUUAUUUCAAGUGGUACAACACCUACUCUUCAAAGUGGUUUAUCAUUGUUUUGCAUACUGUCUUUUUUGUUGGUUCUUGUUUUGUGGUUUCUAUGUUGGCUAUUUUUGGUUGCAAGAACUUUUAUAAUGUAAGCUGCAUGAGUUAUAAACUGUGAAUCCUGAAGAAUCUUCUUAAAGCCAUUGUAAAAUGGUAAAAAGAUGCAAGGAUGAUCUCCUUUUUUAAAUUAAAAAGCCCAUAAAUAAUGGGUGUAAAACAUGGCAUGAAAUUUGUUGCUUGGUCCUUGUCAUGUGGCUUCACAUCAUGGCUUUAUGCCAUAUUUGGUUGCAAGAACUUUUACUUUUUGUGACAUCAGUGAUGUGAAGCCAGAAAAAUGUUCUCCUUAAAACCAGUGCAACAUAUGUGUUGCAUUUGGACGUUUUGGGAACAAAACUUGUGUUUAAUAUGUAAGAAAAAAAAUAUAUAGCAGUGUCUAAGCAAGAACUUUUACUUUCUGUGACAUUGGUAAUGUGAAGCCAGAAGAAUGUUCUCCUUAAAACCAGUGCAAUAUAUGUGUUGUUGCAUUUGGACGUAUUGGGAACAAAACUUGUGUUAAAUAUGUAAGAAAAAAAAUAGCAGUGUCUAUGAUGGAUUUCUGAAAUGUUUUCUUUGAAGAGGUAGCAACAUUUUUUUUGAUAGGGUAGUAACAUGUACACUUCAAUGUAGCUUCAACUUUGUUUUGCAUUCUGUCUUGUUUAUGAAUCCAGGAGUAUUUUCUUAAAACCAUUGUAAAAUGAAAAUGAGACUUUUUUGUGGUGGGGUUGUGACAGGGACUAAACAUGAUCUAGGGAGUGCAUAGCCAGCUUGUAUGGUGCUUUGUUGUAAAGAAAUACCUCCCAAGUGGUCAAGUCAUUUGCACAAAGCAUUCCCUACCAUUGCAAUUGUUGCUCUGGUUGUUUCUGAUGCUAAUCUUUGCAUGGUUAUGUGUUUUUUGGAUUCUUCCCUGUUCAGUUAGUCUUUUUACAUGGAUGCCAGUGUGGUUUCUUAGAACAGAGGCACGAGGAAGUUCAGAAAAUGACUUGUCUUUGUUUAUGCCAGAGAAUUUGGAAAGAAAGAAAACAGUAGAAUCUUUGAGGGGGUAGAAUAAUCCUUGUUAGUGACCUAAACAUGUCUUAAAAUCUUGCUGUUUUUUAAUCUUCUAUUUUAUUUUUGCUUGAAAAAAUCUUGCUGUUUCCCUGUGGAAGCCAAUUUAUUCUUGUCACAUUUUGUCGAUGUCGUGGUCUCAAGUUAGCCCAGCUGCAAUUUUCUUUCCCUCUUUCUUUUUGGGCUUUUUUGCGGAUCUUGUCCAAUACCUGUGUCAGGGAAUGCAUCCCUUGUUUUUGCUAGGUGCCUCGUUAAUAAAUUCAAUUUUGCCUAUAAAUGAAUAUAAAAAAUUGUUGCUUUGGCUCUGAUAAUCAAAAUUGUUUCUGAAUCGUACUGUAUUUUCAGGAUAAAUCUUCUAAUAUGUUGUUUUCCUCGUUCAACUUGCAGUCUUAGAAUGUAUAAUUCACUGGUGGAGAGAUGUUUUAGUGACUGUGUGGAGAGCUUCAGGCGCAAAUCCCUUGACAAGCAAGAAGAGACCUGCGUCCGGCGAUGUGCUGAGAAGUUCUUGAAGCAUUCGAUGCGUGUGGGUAUGAGAUUUGCAGAGCUCAACCAAGGGACAGCAACACCAGAUUAAAAGCCCUUAAGCAACCAUGGGUGCAAAACAUGUUCAAACUUGCCCCAGGAGGAUUUAGUGGUUGUUACAAAAAUGGAAAUGUUUCUGUUCUUAGUUUACAUACGUUUCUUCCCCCAGUGCAGUACAAUGGGUGCAACUACAGGAAUUUCCUCGUUAGGAAUAAGCCUCAAGCAAAUUAUACCCCUGUAGCUUUCCAGAAGAUUGAUGAAUGACUUUCAGUAACUGAAUUUUGAUUCAUGCAGAUUUUGGAUAUUUGAGCAUUUUAACCUUGCACCUUAUUAUAAGGUGGAGCCACAAUGCUAAGAUAUUUUUGAGUGGCCAUUCUAUCACUAACCCUGAUUGUAUAAUGCAAAUCUGAAUACCAUGUUUACUGAAAGAAAGCAGAUAAAUAGGUAGAUCUUUACUGCCGGAACGUACACCAGUUAGUGUUUUUGGAACUCAAGCACACUGGAACCACACCCUCCUUUCCAUGGAAAUCAAUUCAAAGAAAUAACCUUUAACCAACCAUCCUUUUUCUAUGCUCCACUUCAGCUUCACAAGAAAUCUUUUGCCACAGCAGGAAUUCUUGGAAUGUUCCAACCAGUGGAGCUUUUCAACAUAUCAGUAAAAGGUAGAUGCAUAAACAUUGUUUAACAGAACUAAAAUGCCACCAUAAAUUUCAAAAUUCUGUGACAACCUGCAAAUAAGGCAUAAUGGAAAAUAGAUAAUUGACUCGGAUCUAUCCAUCCAUGUAGGGAAUACACUCUCAAUCAAACCAGUUCUUGAUAAUAGAAAAUGACAUCCAAGGAUAACAACCACAAUCAGAACAGGUGUGUGGAAUAACAGGCCACUUGAAGAUACAAUGACAGAAAAAUUAAACAAGUUUUUUGUUUUUCACUUCAGGGGCACAAGCACCUCAUCUCAGAAUCUACUGUCGAUAAAAGCUUAGCCUGACCACUUUUAAUUGCUGGUUGGAAUAAUUACUGCAGAAUCACCAUAACCAUAUGCCUCACAAUCAGCAACAGCAACUUUCUGCAAAAGAAACAUUGUUCAACCAUCAGACAUUAUUAACCAAUCAAUUUUUUUUAAUUUUUUUUCAAAGCCAAAAUGAAAAGGACACAUUUACAUGCAUCUUUCUUUAGAAUAAACUGUGCAAUAAAUCAUUCUGAGAUUUUACGGCAUAAAACAGUAAGUCUACUAUUUUGAACCACCAAAAGAUAUGUGCUACAUGGCUGUUGAUCAAUGUGCUACAUUGAAGGAAUGUGAAUAAGCCAUCAUUUUGGUUAACAAACAGGAUAAACCAGAAUUGUCCCAACCAAUGAAUGGAUGCCAUUCUUCCACUCGUGAAAAGCCCUGUUGGUUCAAAUUCCCUUUUUUCCCACCCUUCAGACUCUUCAUGGGGAAACAAACAUCAGGAUGCUGACUGCACAAUCAGCACCUGUUGGUUCAAAUUCUUAAGAAUACUUAUGAGGAGUAGGUGCUGGAAUAUGUUUCUCUGCCAACAGCUUUUGCCCUCUCCUGCGUUGUUCUUAAAAAAAUCAUACUCAGUGGUGGACUGUUGGGACUCAAAAAAUAAAUAUAUAACAGAGUAAACAAAAUAAAAUAAAAACAAAAACAAAAAAUAUGGCCAUUCUUUCAGGUAGGUAGCACUUAAUGGCAAACCCAACAGGGUAUAGAAGGAUGGAAAAUUGAGCAGUCCAACAAUUGUUGUAAAGAGGUAACUCAGGGAUAUCUCUUCAAGACAUCAUGACCAGAGCAUGACAGCAUACAAGUGCCAAGGCAGUCUAGGUUAAGAUAGACUACAAUUGGUGAAUUAGUAUCAGAGAAUUUGAAAUACGAACUAGAAAGAAAUGUCCAACAGUCAAGAAAUAAGAACACACAGCAACAGUUACUUGCAACUGAGUGCGAUCAAAUGAACGGGAAAGUGCAUAGUUCUGUCAGAGGACAUGAAGAACCCUUUUUUUUUUUUUCAUCUCCUACAUUUUUAAAGCAUAAAACCCAUGCCCAGACCAUAUUCCUGAAAAGACUUUGCCGCAUACAACAAGAAUGAUUCAAGAAAAAUCAUAUGAUGCAUUACCAGUCACAAUCAGGGCAUUAAUCAUCAAGUUUGUGAUGCCGUUUCCUAUUCCUCUUUUCAGACCGCUUUGUGCCCCUGCCAACCCGCGAAUCAUCCGAGCCACUGAUAUCAGAAUCAGACAAUGAUGCAGCCCUUCUGCUCUUCCGCUUAUGCCUAUCAGAAUCCCCUGAUGAAUCCGAAUCAUCAGAAUAGCGAUGACUUCUCCUCCUCCUCUUCUCCUUCCUACUUUUCCUUCUCCUUAGUCUACGCUCCUCCUUAUCCUCAUCUGAUGAUUUCUCCUCAUCAGAUGAAUCAUUCCUCUUCUUCCUCUUCUCCUUCCUCCUCUUCCUUCGACUUUCAUCAUCAUCAUCAUCCAAAUCACCACUUACCCUCUUCCCACUCCUUCUCUUUGACCUACCUCUCUUCUUCCUCUCCCUAGAAUCUGAUCCAUCAUCAUCUGACACCUCCUUUCUGGAUGACCUCCUUUUGCUACUACCCUUCUUUUCAUAUCUCUCAGCAAUAAUCCUCUCAAUCUCAGAAUCAGCAUCAGAGUCAGAACUCUCACUCUCAUCCUCUUCCUCACUUUCACUCUCAUCCUCAACUGCACCCUUACCAUUCACUUUCUUGCCCACGUUCCCCUUCAACUUAUCCAAACCAGACAAAACCGAGGCCUGAAUCGCAUCUGGGUCUUUUUCUUUAUCAUCCUUAAUGCUCAAAAAGUUGCGGCACUGGAAAGUGAGGUGCCCGACACGGCCACAUUUCUUACAUGCUCCACGAGUCUCAUCUGCAUUAGAUCCAGUUAUGCGGGCAAGGGCAAGGAGACCUUGGAAACUAGCAUAAGCAUUCUCAGCCUCUGGUUCGGAAUUCGAUGACUUGGGUUGGGAGGAAUUCUUAGCAUCAUCCUUAUUGGGGGCAUACGGAUCAUAACCAAUUGCACUCUGCCAAAUUCCAUGGGUUUGAAGGGCAGCACUGCUGUGCACCCGAUUAUUGGCGGGCAUACGAACCCUACCUGCUGUCGCCGGCAUCUUUUAUCCUGGCAAGAAAGAUAAAAGCAAAAUAAGGUUUUAUAUUAAGGCUGACAAGAAAAAAAAAAUCAAAUUAGGGUUUUGAAUUAAAUUCUAAUCUCAAACGAAAUUGAUAGGGAUUAGCGUAUCUUAGGGCUUUGAUUAACUCAGAGAGAUAUCAAACUACUGAUAGAGAGGAAUUCAAACAACAUCCACAGAAACUUUUUUUUAAGGAAAAAAUGAAAAAGAUUUGGGAAAUUUUAGAAAUUUCUGGUGUUCUGAAUUAGAACUCCAAUUCAAAACAACAUUGGUAGCAAACCUUAGGGCUUUUUGGGGAAUUGAUAAGAACUUUACUGAUCUCGGAGCAAGAACAAACAAUCAAUAAAGAGAAAAUUUUAGGAAAGACUUACAAGUUUCUAGCAUUUUGAUUAGGGUUUUCAAUUAGAUCUUCAUUAAAAGCCAAUUGCUGAAAAACUUUAGGGAUUUGUUUUGAGAAAGUGCGAAAAACAAACAGAUUGGGGCUUUAAUCGUACAAAAAAUCAAUAAAAUAAAACGCGAACUAGGACGAAAUUUCAGGGAUUCAAAAAAUAAAAACCUCCGAAAUUUCUAGCAUCCCCACCGACAGUCAAAAACAAUGGAUCGAAAUGACAGUCCUCAUGAAUCUCCCAUGAAAUAAAAAAUUGGGGAAAAUUUUCAAGAUUUGUGAGAGAGACAUAUGUUAAUCGCCCUUACAUAUAUCACUGAGAGAGCAUUCAACAGAUAGAUUAGUGAAAGCAUCAAAGAGGUUACCUGCUGUUGCGCCGAAAAUUUCAGAAAGAGGGAUUGGAUAAGGUCUUGGUUUCUUCAGAGAGAGAGAGUGGAGGAGGAGGAGGAGAGAAUCAGAGAAUUCCAGAAGACGGACGUUUGGAAUGGAAGCCUCUCCAGAUUAUAAAGGUCUACAGCGAUAACGUGACCAAAAAAAAUAAAAAUAAAUCAUAAAUUGUUUUUAUUAUUUAUUUUUAUAUAUUUAAAUAGUAUUACAAAUAAAAUUAAUUUUCAUAAUUUUAUAUUAGGAAUAAAAUAAUAAAACAUGGAUUCCAUAUCCUAAAAUAAUAAAAACUGUGGUAAUUAAAGGAAAGUUUCCAUAAUUUGAUUCAUAGUACAGUUAGGAUUAUGAGAGGAAUGCAAGUCUCAUAAUAUAGGAACUCUUUAGACUAUAUAUAUAUAUUUCAUUGAUCCAUGUCCAUCGGAUACAGAGACCCAUGGAUGUCCCGGCUUCUCAACCCUUUCCAUCACUCCCAUCUCUCCCUCACCCUUUCCCUCCUUUUCUUCCCACCGAUCAUUCGAUGGUUUUUCGCAUCUUGAAUAUGUCCGCUAUCCCACUCAUCGUCUUCCUGGUCCUCAUCUGUGCUUGCAUCACCAGAAUAUUCAGAAUUGGAUACAAUGAUCAUGAAACUGCUGCAGAUGCUCCAGAUACUGAUCACUAUCGUGAUCUUCUUUUUCAGCUCCGUUCCCAUCACUCUGAAAGAUUACGCGAGCUUAUGCAAGGAAUAAAAGAGCUGGUGAUGGAAGCAUCAGAUGGUUUUGUGUAUGAUCAAACUAAGGGCAUUAAAGGCUGUGAAAGUGGAGAAAAGUCCAGCAGUAUUAAUACUGGAUGUGUCAUCUGCUUGGAAGACUUCAAAGAUGGAGACGUAUGUAGGGCUCUUCCCGAAUGCCACCAUGUCUUCCAUAAAGAAUGCGUAGUCUCAUGGCUGAUGCAGAGCAAUUCCUGCCCUAUCUGCCGUGCCUUCACUGCCGUCUUUGUCCGAAGGCUGCCUGUGUGACUCUCUCCUCUUGACAGAUAUUGAUCAGGCUUGGAUUAUGAAUUUCUGGAUUGGCUCUAGUUUUCAUUUAAAUACAAUCAUCAGUCCAUAAGUCAUUGUAUGUGUUCUUUUGUAUCUAAUUAGAUGUUUGAAAUUUUGUUAGUAUAUAAUACUGGAUUUUUUAAAUAUUUUUCUUCCUUUUUUAUUUUUAUUUUUAUUUUUAUCUCCUCGUUAUUUCAAAAUUCAAUUUAUGUUUUUCUUUUAUUUUUUUCUCUUUAUCUCAGAAAAUUAUGGUUAUGUCCAUAAGAUUAAACUGAAUUACAGAGGAUUACUAUAUUUAAUAUCAGGUGAGAAACAAUAUUCCAAAAAAGAAUUUUUUCUUUAUUUUUCAAAAACAAAAGAAAUAAAAAUACAUUUUGCUUUGGAAUUUUAAGUCAUUAAAAACCCAACUUCUUAAUUCAAACUUCCAACCACAUGUAUAUCUAUCUUGCUAUACUUGGUAUAAUAAUAGUUACACAAGAAAUCAGAGUUAUGAUCAACUAGUUUCAAUACGUAAUCCACAAAAGAAUUUUUCUUUGCACCCAAAAACUCAUCCUUUUUUUUAUGAGUUGUGUUUGAGAAGACAACAUUCAAAGAAUGCCAUUUAUGAUUAAAAAUGGAUUUUAAUUUUCUUGCUUUUUUCUCCAAAUUAUUAAUAUUAUACCGGGAAAUUACUUAUUUAAUUUUGUUUUAACAUAUGAUUUUGCAAAAAUAUUUAUUCAAAAUAAAUGCACAAAGUAAAUCUAUUCUCAUAAUAAUUUUCAAGUUAUAGAUUUUUUUUUUAUUUACUAAAUGCAUUAUAUUUGCUUAAAAAUCUUUGAUAUUAUUAUUAUUUUAGAGUAGAAUUUUUUAUUUUUUAAAGUUGUUCUUACAACAUAAAAAUAGUAAGUAGGGUGGUAAAAGGACACAACACAAGAUGGGCAUCUCAAAUUCUCUUGCUCAUUCCUUAUCUAAUUAGGAUAAUGGAAAUGCAGCUUGGUGUGCGCUCCAAUGAUUAGGAAAAUAUAAGCGAUUUGUAUUCCAUACCAUCAGCCCUAUCUUUUAAUCUAUAUCUCAAAAUACAUGGACCUCCCCCUAGCUUCUCAUCCUCUUCCACAACUACCAUCACCCCCACCCCCACCCCUUCCUCCUACCCCUCCCCCUCUUCCUAAUGCUGAUGUUGUUGCUUCAGUACUCAUUGGCUUCUUUUCUAUAUUCACUGCCCCACUGUUCAUCUUUUUGGUUGUCCUCACCCUCUGCGGUUGGCUCAAGCGUUUCUUCAGAAGGAGAGAUGAUCAUCAAACUCCAGAGCCGGAUAUCGAAAUCGGAGCUACAAAUCUUUAUCAUGAUCAUCGCCCCCCUUCUCAUGAUUUUAGUCCAAGAACACAUGAUGAUAUUAGUCAAAGAUCUGUAGAGGAGAAGUGGAUGGAAGUAGCGCCAAGCUUUGUGUUUGAUAAAAGUAGGGCUGAGGAAGGUGGAAUGAAGGGUAACGAUGAAUGUGUGAUAUGCUUGGAAGACAUUAAAGAUGGAGAGAUAUGUAGGGUUCUUCCUGAAUGCAGCCAUGUCUUCCAUAAAGCAUGUGUAGGCUUAUGGCUGAUGAAGAAAAGGGUCUGCCCCAUAUGCCGUCUUCGUGUUAAAGAUACUGUACCAAAUCUUGAUUAGGGUUUUCCUGUUUUUAUUUUUUAUUUUUUGGAUUUGUGAGGGCAUGGGAUUGUAUAUACUUUGCAUUCGGUAUCAUUGCUGGCCUUUUCAUGUGUGUUACGUAAUUUCUAUAAGUUAUUUAUAUUUUUAUUGGAAAGAAAAUUUUCCUAAAUACAACACCUACCUUGAUAUUUAUGCAACUGAGGCUAUGGUUCUCAUCUUCCUAUCCAAGGGAUAGCCAUCUUUAGUUAUAAAAAAGAAAUAAUUAAAAGAAAAUGCUAUUUUUUAAUGAUUGUUAUAGUAAUGUUUUUUAAAAUAAUUUUUCAUUGUUUUUGGAAACAAAAUUCUGUUCGAAAAUUUAAAUAUAUAAAAUAGUUUUCUCGAUUUAUUUUUCAUUAAGUUAUAGUAUAUUGAUGUAUAAUGUAAAAAUUCUUAAAAUAUUCUUCAUAUUUUUAAUUAUUAUUUAAAAUAUUUUAAAAAAUAAUUAAAAUAUCUUAAAUUUGUUGUAGAAAGUAACUUAUUUUGAAAAAAGAUUCUCAAAAUACUAUAUUUUGUCAAAAAUUUAUGAAACAUAUUUCCUGAGUUAUAAAAUUAUAUUCUAGUUUUAAAAAUAAAGAAACUAUUUCUAAAAACAAUUUCAAAUAUCUUAACUUUUUUUAUAAAAAAAAACCAAUAAGAUUUUUUCUCUACAUGUUUUCAUUGGCACACGUGUGGGAUGGUUCAACCCCUUUGGUCUAAAUGUAUCCUUGUCCUACGUUACAAUUUCAAAUAUCUUAACUUUUUUUUUAAAAAAAAACAAUAAGGUUUUUUCUCUACAUGUUCUCAUUGGCACACGUGUGGGAUGGUUCAUCCCCUUUGGUCUAAAUGUAUCCUUGUUCUACGUUACAAAUCAUCACAUGAACCAUGACGUGCAUCCUGCAUCAUGGGAUUGGACGUGGAAUAGUGGCAUGAGCUAUGAUACGGGCGUGGCACAAAAUUGUAUUAUCUUCCAUCUGAGUAUACCAUCAUCCUUCAUGUGUUACAUAUCCUUAUACUAAAAAGUUAAUUUUUUUUAAUAUAUAAAUUAUAUAUUUUAUCAAAAAAAAAUGUUGAUUUGCAUUUCAUUUCUCAUUUAUUAAAAAAGAAUACAAAAAAAAAGGAAAAAAAUAAAAUUUCGUUUUAUUUUAUUUUCAUAAGUAAUUCCAAUCACCUUUGAAAUUCAUCAAAUAUUAAUCUUAUUUUAAAUUAAAGGAGUAAGUAAAAUUAACAAAUAAGAAAGAAAGAGAAAAUAUUUAAUAAAAUUUUAAAUAUAAUUAAAGUUAUUUGUUAAAGUUUGGUGAUUUGAAUUUUAUUUGAUCUAACCUAAAAAAUUCAUGAUAUGACGACAUAUAUGGUGAAUCGGUCUGAUCCCUCCACUACUAUCAUAGAUCCUAUUAGGGAUAUAUAUAUUUGUAUGUAUGUGUAUGACAAUGUAUAGUUUUAGGGGGAUAUUAUGUCGAUGAGGAAUAGUUAAAAUAUUCUAAAUACAUCCUUCAUUUUCCCUUUAUCAAUAGUUUUCCUGGUAUUUGUGUUUGCACACCUUUACUUGCUGAAGAACCAUAUCUAGAGAUAGCAACUUCUGAGAAACCUUAAUGUAGCCUUAAAAACCGUAAAAAAGCAAUAGAAUUCUAUCGAGGUUUUAGCCCUAUUAUGCUACAUUCAUUACAUAAAAUCUUCAAUGUGAAACCUACUAAUUUGAGUAAUAGUAUGAGUAAAGUUUUAGGAAAGAUAAGUAAAGUUAAUAUUUAUUUUUAUUUAUAAAUAAUUUUAAGCUAUUAUAAGCCUCAAAACUGACCCAUUCCACCCUUAUUUUGUUUGUAUCUCGUCCAAAUCCAUCAUACUAGACAUGGGCCAUUGAUAAAUCUCCAAAAAUGCAUGCUCCAUUGCUGCUACAAGCCUACGACUAUCCUUAUUUGCAACUGGCGCCUCUAUCCCAUGGCCUCUCAGGUCAAUUUCUCAGUUGACUUUUCAUUUCCUUGGAAUUGUGUCUGCAUAGUGAUGACAAUCUUGAGCAGGUCAUAAUUAUAUUGGGACAAAUCUGGUUGAAUAAUUUUCUUCUUUUAAUCAUAUAUUUAACUCCAUGUUUCACUCAUGUCCCUCCUUUAUUUCUAGAAUUUCAAAAUCUUUAAUAUUUUGUUAAUAAUAACCACCAUGUAUUGCCACAAGAAAUACAAGGAUUCCCAAAUUUCUCCAUCUCCUCCUCCUCUCCCCGACUUUGAUAAUCUAAUAAAAUCUCCUUUGGGUGUUUUCCUUGUCGUAGACCUGAUAGGCUCCACCUUCAUCUCCAUGUACUUCUGUUGCAGAAGAAUGAUGGAUGAAUCUCAAGCUAACGAAGCCCCAGAUACUGAACUUGGAAUACCAAGGUAUCAGCCACAAAAUAGUGGCAGUUCCCAUCAGGUGAUAAGACAUAUUGCCGAGAAAAUAUCAGAGGAAAAUUUGAUGGAAGCAUCACAAAGUUUUGUGUAUGAUGAAAAAAAGGUGAUGAAGGAGUGGCAAAAGUGCAGUGAGUGUGGCAUAUGCCUGCAGUAAGAUGUCAACGAUGGCGACUUUCUAUUUUUUUUUUUUAAUUUUUAAAAUCAAUAAAUUGGGCAUACUUUCCACUUUCUAUUUUUAAAAUCAGAAAAUUUAUACAUAUCAAAUUAUUUAAAAUUUUGAGAUAUUAAAAAAAAAAUUACUACCUUAUAUUUUAAAUUUUCUAAAAAUAAUUUUUAAAAAUAAAAUAAAUUCAAACUUUUAUAUAAAAGUUUCUCAGUUCAAAGAUUAAGGUUGUUAAGAAUUGAAAUAAUGUCUUUUAUUUUGGUGUAAAAAUCAAUUUUUAAUUAAAUAAAUCAUUAUAUCUUUUAAAAACUAAAAUCUUAAUAAUUUUUUUUUAUUGUUUUAAAAAGUAUAUCAUCAUUUUUCUAUUUUAGCUCAAUUUAAGUAAACUUAUAUAUUGUAAUAAGUUUUUUAGUAUAAAAUAUAAAUCCCAAUAUACAAGUAUUUAGAGGAAAAAAAAUUAUUCCAAAGUUAUAAUAGAUAAUUUAAAAUAAAAAGUUGUGAUUUCAAAUAUUAAUUAUGGAAAACUAGAUUUUAUUUUCUUCAAAUUAUCAUGUGUUAUUGAACUAAAAAAGUUAUUAGAUCACAAUUUAAUAAUGAGAUGACAAAAUUAACUAAAAUUAUGUUAUAAAUAAUUAAAAACACAAAAUAUUUCAUCCUCUUAUUUUUUUUUUUUAACAUUAACAUAUGUCAAAUCUUACUAAGUGUGAUAAGGAUGGAAUAUAAAUUAUUAAUAUUUUAAUUUUAUCGAAUGACAAAAUUAUAAUACUUAAUUGUUAAAAAGAUUAUAUAUGGAUUUUUUUUAAGAAAAAUUAUACUUGAUCAAAUAGAAUAUUUAUUAAUUUGAAGAAAUGUGUAUCUAUUUUGUACAUUCUUUUGUAGUUGUUCAUUGAUGGUAAGAGAAAGUUUAUUUUAAAGGAGUUUGUAGUUAAUUUAUAUUUUAAUUUGAACUUUGUCUUUAACUUAAAUCUUAUCUUUAUUGACCUUGACUUAAUUUGGACUUAGGUGUGUUUGGAUCUUGGCUUGAUUUGGACCUUCAUGGAUAUCGAUACUUAGGCCUUGGAAUUAUAUUUACUUAGGUCUUAACUUGAUCUUAGCCAUGAUGAUUUGAGUUUUAGUAUGACUUGGGCCGAAAAUUGACUUGAACAAUGUUGUCUAGGUUUUGAGUAACUUGAUAUCAGAUUAAAGAGAGAUUUCGAUUUUAAGGCUUUGAAGGUCUUGAUAAUUCAAAAAUAUUUUGAAGAAAUUAAAAAUUUAUUGAAAUCUUGUUUUUGAAAUAAAUUUGAAUCUCCCUUAAGAGCUUUUCACGUAGCUUCAAAAUUAACUCAAUUUACUAGGGUUAGAAGCACCAUUUUUUUAUAUUUCAUAUUCUUUAUAAAUUUUAUUAUUAAAGGAGUUUUAAAAGCCAUUUCAUAAUUUUAACCUUUUUUAAUAUUAUCCUAAAAAUAAUAUUUAAGAAAAAUUAAAAAAAUAUAUUUAGCAAUCUCUAAUUUAUUUAUUAACAAGAAUUGAUAAUUAUUUUUUCAUUAUUUUUUUUAUGGUCUAUAAUUAAAUUAAUUUGAGCACAUGGCAUAUUGUAAAAGAUUAAAUUUUGUCCUACUACAUAUCACACAUUAGCUGCCUAAAUCCAAAUCCAAAAAACACACCCACUAAUUCACUAUUGAUUCUGUCUUCUCCAUCUCAAAACCAUGAACGCCCAGAAUUUCUAGUCUCAGUCCCCCCCCCCUGAUGGUAUGCUUGCUAGACUUAAAAGAGCACAUGCGGCCAUGAAAAGAAUAGGGGAGACACUGAGGGAAGCCUCACAAAGCUUUGGGUAUGGGAAGAAUGGUGAUGAGGGGGUGGUGAAGUGCAGUGGGUGUAUCAUGCUUGGAGGAUUUACUAACUAAAGGUAUAGAAUUCAUGUCAAAAAAUGCAAAAAUACUGAAUAAUCAUUAUGUUUGCAACGCAGUAUUAAGCAGUAGGGCAAGGCUUUGCCCCUUCUUUCCAUGAUAAUACAAGGCAAGAAAUAAACAGCUCUUUCCACACUAUUCAACGUUUGUAUAUGAGAUACGGGUUCAAGAAGACAAAUAUUCAGGGCCAUCGUUGAGGGCACAACACACUGUUGCUUUGUGGUGCCCAUUGAACACUCGGAUGGCUUCUGCGGUUGACAGUGUCCAAAGUCUGGCUGUUGUAUCCGAGGAAGCUGCAAAGGACAAUGGCAAAUAGAUGAAACGAAUGAGGCGGCAGGGUGGUUAAUGAUCCUAUAUUCAAUUGGCAACAGAUAUUUUGAAUAAGUGAUCAGUACCUGUGAUUAGAUAUUCACCAUUAGCAGAAAAGACACAGUCCCAAACCCACCGUUGGUGUCCUGGUUAAUAUAAAUGACAUUAAGGAAUUAUAAGUCAGAGCAAUCGAAAGAAACCACUCUGAUCUUUCAGAGAUAAGUCUAAAGCCAACCUCGCUCACCACCGCAGGGGAAAAGAAAGAAUCAAAGAAAUAAAUAAAUGGAAAAUGAGGAUGAGGCUUUAAAAGGAUGUUGAUUUAAAUUACCAAUUAGAGUUUUCUCUAAGGUGAAACCAUCCACAUUCCAUAUCUUAACAGUAUGAUCAGAUGAUGCUGUAGCCAGAUAUCUAGAACAAAAUAUAUAACUUUAGAUCAAAUUCAGUGGUUCAGUUACAAAGCCCAGAGUACAAAUUGGAAUUAAUCAGAGAACAUAACUUUCUUCUCCAGGGGAAAAAAAGGGGGUGGGGGUGUGGGGGUAGUGACCAUACCGUUGAGGGUCACAGAGCUCAGGUGAGAGCAAACACUUAAGAAUGUAGCCACUGUGUGCUUGAAGUUUAUGAAGCGGCUCAAAAUUGGUCAUAGUCUGCAGCAGGAAAAGGGUGUUCUGUUAUAUGAAAAUCAUCAAGAACAAUUUAUUUAUCAUCAAACUAAACAAGGAGUCAAUCAGUUAUAGAGAAUUGAAAACAAUCAUAAGAGAAAAACAUCCUUUAUAAGAGCUAGACCUGGGUCCCUCGCAACAAGCGCCAGACAUAGCAUGUUCCACGAUUAUUUGCAGCCACAACCAAGCUCCCAUCCCACAUUACAGUUAGAGAGCGCACAGCUGUAUCUUCUUCUGGUACCUGAAUUUAAACUGUAAAACUUAAAUAAAGAAUGAAAAAUUAUUUCCUUUGCAUAGUUACUUGGUGGUCCUUGGAGACGUUAGUAAUGAAAUAACAAAGUACAUAUUCAUGUGCGGUCAUUAGAAGAAUGACACAAAGUGAUAAAAUAAGGUUUAAUGAAAAUGGAAGAAUGUAGUGUACUAGAAAAGUUUGUUCUUUCAUUGUGAAAAUCUCACAUAGAACCACAACAGUUUCAGGAACUUUUAUACUGUUUUCUACUGAAUGAGAUAUCAGAGCUUGCUAAGAUGUUAUAUAGGUCUGUUUUUAUUUAUUUAUUUGGUGGAUUUUCUCCACAUAAUCUUCAAAAUAACUAAGAUUUAAUAGAAGUGUCCAUAAGAAUUUGAUUCUUCAAUGAAAUUUCAUAAGAUCAAUACGAAACUGAAGUUCUACACAUGAAAUAAUAUUCAGAAUUAACUCAACAAAUACCAAUUCACAGCUGCAUGAAUUUGCUAUCAAAUCCCAAACUCGAAUAUUUCCAUUUUGGUCUCCAGAUAUUAGUUCUGUCUGCACAACACAUGCAAAAAGUUGGAUAAUGAAUAACUUCAACAGAUAAAUUAUCAAAAUGAGACAUUAUAGUAUGUAAUUUGAUUUUGGCCAGAAAAUGAAACAAAAAAAGGGAAACAUGAGCUUAUGGCUAUGUUCUAGCCAUCAAAGAAAUUAAACUAUAGUAAUCUACAUGGACAAAAUUUAGCAAAAGAUCAUUUUUUUUUUAUAGAUAAACACAGAAAAAAUAUAUUAAGAGAAAAGGGCGCCUAAAGGGCAAUCCAAAGCAUAUAGGGAAUUUAGCAAAAGAUCAUUGCAUCUUCUCUUUAGGUCCUAUGACUCCAAAGAUAAGAUGGGAUUGCCAUUCUACUUCUUUAAACCAAAUCCCAUUAACACAAUUACAAAUGAAAAAUUUGUAAGGCUAUUAUCAGCAGUUUAUAUCUUAUUUCUGUUAGUUUAUUAAAUUAAAGUAUUAGAAUAUUUUAUCUUCCCUUGGUAUAAAUUACUUUCUACAAGAAUGAAAUUCAAGGUCAAAGUAUCGAAGUAAUUACCAACAAUUCUCAUGCUAUAGAGCACAAGUAGACAAAUUUGAAGGCAUCCAUGUUUCAUAUUACAUAGCAAUACCAGCAAGGUACAUAUAGGCCUUAGAGACCCUAAGAUUUGUUUCUUAAUCACCCUCUCAUUCUUAAUCCCCCUCUGCUCUAUAAGCUUCUAACCCCCACUCUUUGUCUGUUCUUAUUUAGGUAUAAGCAGACAAAAAUAAAGUUAGCUAAUUAUCUAAUCUCCAAACAUCCACAACCCAAUCACUGAUUUAUAAGAAAGCUAAAUGAUAUUGGAAAAUGCCAUAUAAUAUCACCUGAUUUGGAUGCAGGACAACAGUGUUAACAGCUGCACGGCUUUCAUAUUCCCGUUGACACCCUGGAGCCCUAAAAUUAGCUUAAAGUGAGAAUAAGAUCAUAGAAAUAUAUGAGGGGCAAAUAACAAGGCACAUGUGAAUAAUUUUUUAAGAUGAAAAUAAACCAGAAAGAACUUGCAAGUAUUUAGGAAGGAAUACCUUACAUAGUGACGAAUAUUUUUGCUUACUAACUUACUUGCUUACCUCAAAUCCCAAAUCUUUACUGUGCCAUCUUCAGAACCAGAAUACAUCCAAUUUCCAUCACAUUGAAACCCCACUGCUGUGACAUUGUUGGUAUGUGAAUCAUAGCUCAUGAUCUAUCAUUGAAACAAAGUGAUGAUUACCAAGGGAAAUUGAUUACAUUUACUUUACAAACAAAAUAGGUAAGAAAAGAAAUGGUAGACAUACAGGUUGGUGACCACUGGAGUUAAUGUCAAAUAGUCGAAUGUGGGGAUUUCCAGCUGCAGCCAAGUACUUCUUAUUUGGGGUUAUAUCAAGUCGAUUAACAUUCUGCAUUUUCAAGAUCACCAUAAGACUUCAUGAAUGUAAUUACCUGAAGGCCCAGAUUCCCUAAUAGCUAGGCUUCUUCCUUUCCCCUCCCCUCCUUCCCCUUCCCCAAAAUCAAACCUUGAUCUCCACUGAUAUCCAGGAGAAUCAUACCACUAGGCCACAGGGCCUGUUGCCCCUGUUUGAGUUCCAACCAUCCAGUUUGAACACUGUUGCCUAAGAACAUUCUAAAAGAUUUUCCACCCAGUAGGAUGAUUAUUGAAUUUGAUUAAAACCGAAUGUCAGAAUUAUUGAACAAUUUUUCUAUAUAACCCUUUUGACUAUUCCUGAUUUCAUACAUGUCCAGUAAUUUUUUUCAAUACCUUGAAGCUCAAACCAAUACAAUUUCCCAUGACCAUUAAAACCAAAAUGCCCAGAACCAAACAACACACCACCAAAUUAUAAUUAUAGAAGCGAAAAAAAAAAAACAAAAAACAAAAGACUUACAAAUUCUGGGUACUGAAUAGUCCGAUAGCACCGACCACUCUCGGCUUCCCAGAACUUGAUUGUGUGAUCGUAGCUGGCCGUAGCGAGGAUCACUGAUGGUUGGGCCAUUUCAGCCACCUAAUUCUGAGAAGAUACUCAUUCCAUCAAAAGAACUGAGUGAUUAAAUCCUUCCAGGUGCCACAAAAAGAUCAUUGAAUACAGAAGAAAAGAAAAUAAAAUAAAAUGAAUGAGGAAUGGCUGAAAAUAAAAAGUACGUCUCUUGACCUAAAUAUAUUUUAUUUUUUUUCUGACUUUUGGUGCACUCUCGCAUUUUCUGGGUAGGCAAACGGGGGUUAGGGUUUAGCUGACGACCCAAACGGGUGAACUCCUUGAACCCAACUUGAAUCAAGGCGUUAGAAGGAAACUCCUCUUUUCUUUACUUCCUUUCAUUUUCCCCAAUUUGUAUUUUUUAUUUUUUAUUUAUUAUGUUUGAAACUCAAUAUGAAGCAUUAUUUUACAAAAUUUAUUUUAUUUUAUUAAAAAAAAAAAAAGAAAUAAAAAUUACUCGUAGAACAUGAAAAUAAAAAAUAAAAAACUAAAAAAUAUUUUCUGAACAAAAAAUAAUCCAAAUUUCUUAUCUUUUAUUGUAAGUUGUUGUGAUGAGUUUCUAGUUUUUCAUGUUUACGCUUUGAUGAAGGAUUUAAUAUGUAGUCAAAUAUUUUAAAAUUCCAUGCAAAAGCUACAAUUUUUCAUAUUCUGUUAUGAAGUGUCAGAGUAAAGAAAAAUAAAAAAGAAAAGAAAAAGUGAUAAAAGAACGAUGGUAUGUUAGUGUUUUUAAUGGAUUACAAUUUAUGUUGAUGGGUUGUUAUAUCGUGUCAAAUGUUAAGUAUUUUACUAUAUGAUUAACUAUAUAAUUAAAUCCGGACCCAAUAAAUCAUGUUAAAAACAUAAAUCUAAAUAUUAUCUAAUUAUUAAAUAUAAGUAAUAUAUUUAAUCCAUUUAAUAAUUAAAUUCUCCUAUUUAAUCAUGUCUCAAGCAUAUUUAUAAAUCAAUUAACUUAUUUCUUUAAAAAUAAAUUUGAAAUAAGUUAAAUACAUGUUAAAUAAUUUUAAAAUAUAACUAGGUUAAAAAUCGGAUUAUUAAAUGAGUCGAUUCAAGUAAAAUUUAUGUUAUGUAUGUUGACUAAAAAUUAUCUAUUCAUUAAUGAGUUACGUAGGUUGACAUAAAUUUGACAUAAACUUGUUUAUACUCAAUCCAAAUUUGUGAAAAACGUGUUAAAUUCGUAUCGUGUUGAGAAAUCAUAUUAAAAUUUGUCACCUCUAGUAUUUGCCCUUUAAAAUAAUAUUCAAUAUUAAAAAGAGGAAAUAAAUCAUAUUUAUUAAAUAAUAACAUACAAUUAUUCUUGUCCUUAAAUUGAAUUGAAUGUUAUGCAUUCGUUUUUUUAUUAAUAAAAAUUCAUAUAUAGUCUUAAUAGUUAAUGCAUAAUAUUGAAUUUAAAGUCAAUAUUUUAAUUUUAAUUUUUUAAAAUUUAUAAUUACAUUAAAAAUAGGUAUAUUUCAUAAAUAACUAAAAUAAUAUUUUUUAUAGCUUAUUUUAUCACAAAUAAUUUUUAUUUUUAUUUUAUAUGUGUUAAAAUAAGAACAUAAAAACUUAAUUUAAAUUAUUUUUAAAUGAAUUAUUUAUAUAAUUGGAGUAUGAUAAGAUAAGACAAUACUCCAACCCACUUUAAGUUUAAAAGAAAAUACCCCAUUCAUCCUUAACCUAUUUAUUUUAAUCUCAAAUUUGUCUUAUUAGAGCAGUAUGUAGCAUAUACUAAAAAAAACCUCUCAUUAUCAUCCCUAGUCAUAUUUUUCGUAUAAAUCAUCAAUUAACAUCUAUUUAUAAGUGUGAUGUCUCAUGUUGAAUAAAGGAGAAAAUAUCAAGCUUAAAUAAAUCAUAAUCCUUCUUAAACCAAGUAAAUACAUUUUAAAUUUGUAAAAAAGACGACUUUUAUUUUAAGUCUUUUUGAAAAAAGACUCAUUAAUUUAAAAAAGAAGAAAAUACUUCUAAUUUAUAUGAUUCAUUAAAAAGAUAGAAAAGAUUUAUAUUUUACUAGAAUCUAUGAGUUCUAAUAAAUUGUUCUUAAGAAUAUUUAAUCAAUUUACUAUAAAAAAAUGAAGCUAAAAUUACCAUUUUUUUUUCUUAUGGUUUCACCUUAAUUUUUCUUAUUUCUUUUCUUCUAAUGUUCUUAUUAUUCACUUUAUAUAUAUAAACAUUAUCUGUAUUGUUUUUAAUAACAAAAUAACUAUUUGCAAUAAUUAUUAUGGCAAGUAAUAAAAAUAAUGAUAAUCUUAUACAAUAAUAAUAAUAAGACUCAAAAUAGUAUUGUCAAUAUAACUAUUAAUAAUACUUACUAAUAAUAAAUAAAUAAAUAAAUAAAUAAAUAGAUUGAGUCCUUCAAACGAGAAAUAAUGAUAAAAAGAUGAAAAGCAAAAAAUAAGAAAAAACAAAAACUUUGUGUCUUCUAAAGUUUCAUGGCUUUUCACUAAUUUUAAAAUUUUAAAUCCGUCAACCUAUUUAUGCCUAUAUAUACAUAUGAUUGUCAUACCUACCUCACAUCAAUGUCACCAAACAGGGCUCUAAAAGAAACCCCUGAUUUUGAAACAUCUAAUAAUGAGGAUGUUGGAGGUGUGACAAAGAACACCCUGAUUUUGAAACAUCUAAUAAUGAGAAUCUUUUUUUUUUUUUCAGAUAUUAUAAUUAAAUUUCUGAUGUGGCACUUUAAAGCUUGAAGUUUCACGACAUUAAUUUAUUCAAAUGUGGUACCCAGUUGGACAAUAACCAUUUUUGUCCAUCUCUAGGCCAAGCUGUUUCAAAAUGUCUCAAAUUCUUAAUCAUGUGUUAUUUCUUUUAUUAAAAUAUUAAUUAAAUUAAAAUAUUUAUCACAAUCUUCACUACAAAUUAAAUUCCAUUAACUCAAUCUUUGAUCUUUUAAUGAUCUUGACAUAUGCCUUAUCAUACUUAUAGUAAUUUAUACUUGUCUAUUUAAUUAUGUAUUUCAUCUCUCUUGUUAUCGUUAAUUAUAUAUCUUAUUAUUCGUUAUCCACUAGCUAUUUCUUUGUUACAAUUCCUAAUUAACAUGAAUAUGAAAAAUAAUUUAAGAUAUAAUUAAUUUAAAAAAAUAUAGAAUCUUAAUAAUUAAAAGAAUGAUAUUAAAUCUAUUUAAUAAUUUUUAAAUGAUGAACAUCAAUCAUGAUCUUAACUUAAUUACCUAUCUAGUAAUUAAGAUUCCCCACCAGUUGCUUGGUCUUUUGGAAAGAAAAUUAGAGUUGCGAAUGGACAUCGAAUUGUAUUCUUGUAAUUGUGGUCAAAGAGCUCAUAUGAGGUGUUGUGUCAAUGCAACUAUUACAAACUUUAAUGUAAAUAAUAUCAGUUUAAGAAGAUAAAGAUAAAACAACCCGUACAAAGGUUUUGAUAGUACUAAAGCAAUAUACCUAGAUGAGAGAAAAUUCUUCUAUUAUAUAAUAAAAAAAUAUUAUAAAAGAUAAAAUUUUGAUAUAACUACUGUGUUUUUGAAACAUAUACUUGGUAAUUGUUUUCGAGAAUUAUUUUUUGUUCUCUUAAAAAAAAAAAAAAAACAACUUUGACAACAAAAAACUGUUUUAUGUUCUCAAAAGCAAAAAAUAUGGUGUUUUCAAUUUUUAAGAAUAGAAGAUAUGAUGUUUUUUAAAAAAAAUCUUUUACUUGUUUUCUAUAAUUUUUAUUUGUUUUUUAAAGGUUAUUUUAAAAAAUAAUUAUAGAAACAUGUAAAAUAUUUAAAAAUAAAACAUUAGACAUAAAAAUUAUUUUUAAAAUAAAUUAAAAACAUUUUAGGUUUUUAAAAAAACUUUUAUUUUAUAAAAUAUUAUAAAAUAGUUUUUAAAAACUGUUUUAAAAAAUAAUUGUCAAAGAGAUCAAUAAUGUUUUCAUAGUCUUUAUAUUUACACCUUAAACCAUGAUCAACUUAUUUCACGGAUCUUUCCUAUUUUUACCCACAUCUUUAUCCACUUAAAAUUCGAUUUCACUUUUUUCUUAUUUGGUAAGAAAAUCUAAUAUUGUAAUAAUGUAUAACUUAAAAACUAUUUUAUAUAAUAUUUUUUAUUAGAAAAAAAUUAUACUAAUUAGGAAGUAGAGAUACUAUGCACCGUUACCAUGAGAUAUUCAAGAAAUUGGAAAAGAAAAUAAAUCGCAAGUGAAAUAAGUAAUCGAAGGACAUUUAAAUAACUUCAUGCACUGCAAUUGAUGGACGUCUAAAAUCAUCCACAAUUCUCCCCGCAUUUAGGUAAUUAUUGAAUAGUAUUGGUUAUACACAACCCACUUAUUAAUACUCUACACGACACGGGAGACAUGAAACCGACAACCAUGAUAAUUAUUUGUAGCCACCACCCUAAGUGCCACCAAUUUCUUCCUCUCAAGAAAGGUAGAUACACUGUGCAUAACCUGCAAUUAAUCCAAGUUGAAAACCACAAUUUCAGGUCAUUGUGGGUACAAAACACACUAAAGUUUUCAAUUUUGAGGUUGGAAAGAAGAGAGAAAUACUCACUGGGGUUGAUAGUGGUGACUCUUCCGGUGUUCUUGAAAUCGCAGCUCUCCAUGGUGCGACCAUGGGUUUGAUAGUAACUGUUCAUGGCGUAGCUUGCAUGUGACCACACGCUGUAGGGGAUGGAGCAAUCCCCUCCCUUUUGUAUCGCUGUGCAAUCCACACCGGUGGCGCAUGCAAAGUCUAAAUUCAACUGCAGCGAGGCAAUGGGGACGCCGCGUUUAGGAACGCACCAUGUUUUCUCCCCUUCAAGAGGCUGCAUAGCAAAUUGAAUCCUCAUGAAAAUCCAUUAAUUUCUUAAGUAAUGAUACACAAGGCGAACGGAUUUUUACAACUGAAAAUCACCUGGGCUGUCUCAAAUUCCUGCACUUGCUGGCCUCCUCGUAAACAACCCGACUCGUAGACGGGACUGAAGUCGGGUUUCAACAGCCCAAAAUUCUGCUCUGAAGGGCCCGGUUUCUGGUUCUCGUUGAACAAAGCGAAAAUGUAGGUUUCCAAGGGUUUUCCAGGCAUCAGUGGCGUCCCUUUGCCGGAGGUAAUGUGCUUGAUGAGGUUUGAGUUAUAAAGUUUGGCUUCCUCCAUCCCAAUACCUCUGCCGGGGUCACCCACCGACGACCACCCGGUUUCGCCCACAACAAGGCUGACGUCGCCGAAACCCGCGCUCUUCAUGGCGGAGUAAACAGAGUCGACCAUAGCAUCGAACAUGUUAGUGUAGGUAAGCCCAGUUGCCUGGUCGUGUGCGCCCUCGUUUUCACCGAACAACAAGAAGUUCCUGAGAUCCCCAGAGUAUGCAAAGUAGGGGUAGGGGUUCACCAUGAACGGAGAGUUGGUUUCCCGGUGAAAUUGGAGCAUCGGGAUCAAUAAGCUCUGUUCGAAUUCCAUCGCAAAUUUACCAGAGCUGGGUGGGCUGGAGCUGGCCAUUAUACUGAAAGGGUGAGGAGUUGUGACCUUAAUGUCAUUGAUGCCAGCGGCUUGUAGAGCCGCGUGGAUCGCCUUCAUCGCCGGAACGAGGUUUACGAUGAGGUCACUAAUGCCGGACAUGGUGAUCUCGUUACCAACACAGAUGUAGUUGAUUUUGGUUUUUUGGUAGAAUGGGACGAUGUUGGUGGCGACCCAGUUAGUAGCCUCGUUGGGGUGAACGAGUUUGGGGAUAUCCAAAUUGACGACGGUGACAGUCAAGCCAAUGCCAGUGUUGGCGAACGCGUUGAUGAUAUCGGGGUUGGUGUCGAAGAUCUUCACUCUGUCAAAGAUGGUUUUAUCUUUGAUAAAGGCCGCCACUUCAGAUGGUGAUGCCAGGUUGUCUGCGACAGUGCCGUAGUUGACUCCAAUUGAAUACACGGCAGACAAGUUGUGGAAGAGAACGAGGAGGAGGAGAAGAGACGGUAGUUUUGCCGCCAUGGUUGCAAGAGGAGGGUUCUUAGAGCUACACACGUUAGGGCUAUGUCGUGGCUCUAUAUAUACACACAUGCAUGCAAUAACUUGUAAUUCUUUUUUGGUAAGAGAAGUAGAUCCUCCAUCUCUUUGUUGCGGUCCAAUUCCUGGUUUCCAUGAAUUUCUAUAUAAGGGUUUCCACCAUUAAAUUCGGACGAUAAUAAUUUCCUUUUUUGUUUUUGUCCUCUUGGUAACAAACUUAAUUUAUAAUUUGAUUUUAUAAAUUUGAUGAACAACAGUCCAAAAAGAGACUCGGAUUUCACCUUCCUAUUAUAGAAUUUUCUAAAAAUAUUCUAUAAAAAUUUGGAAUUUUUGUAAUAACUUAACUAAUAUUAUGGUGCAUAUAUUUGGAGACAAAGGGAGUAUUAAAAAGGAAUUUAAAGGAGAAAUAUCAAAACAUAUUUUUGUCACUUAAUUGAUCAUGUAAUAUAAUUUCACGAUAAGGAAAAGUUGGAGAGAAAAUCAUUAGAACUGCUUUGUUUGUAUUUUUUUUUUUCUUUUUUCCUAAUUAAAUGCAUAUCAAGUUGUUUUAAGAUUUAAGGUAUUUUAGAAUUUUUUAUUUUUAAUUUAUUAUGUGCCUCUUGUUAAAUAAGAUUAUUAUUAUAUUUGUUUAACUUUUAUCUUUUUAUUUCAAAAUAAAUUACAUUGACUUUUAAAAUUUUCUACUAAUUCUUGAAUUCAAAAUAAAUCUACUUGUCCUUUAACAAUUUAACAGAGAAACGAAUUUGUCAUAGAUUAAUAAAAAUAUCAUCAAGAAAAAUUGAAUUAGUCGGUUAAAUUCUAUAUAUAUAUAUAUAUAUAUUUUACCAUUUUCCUUUUUGAAUAGUAGAUGUAAAAUUUUUAAAGAAUGUUUAUGCAGAAAACAAAUCAGCAUAAGAAUCAGUUUGGAUAAGAAAUAAGUUUUGAAAUAAAUUUAUAAAUUUUCAAGAUUGAAAAAAUACCCAACACACAUACUAUUUUUGUUUCAUACUAAUUCUAUUUUCAAAUAAAUUAUUCUCUAUAAAUAAAUAAAUAUAUAUAUAUAUAUAUAUAUAUAUAGAACUAAAAAAUAAAAUUUGAAUAAAAAAUGAAUUAAUUAUUAUCUUUUUCUGAAAUUUAGAUACUUACAUUAUAAAGUAACUGAAACAAAAUUAAUAUAUUCGUUCAAAUAAAAUUUAUAUUAUUAGAAUUCUAAAAUAUAAAUCAUAUUCAUCUAAAUAUCCAUUAAAAUAAUAGUCGGUUAAAUUCUCUCUCUCUCUCUCUCUAUAUAUAUAUAUAUAUAUAUAUUGAAAUAGAUACCCAACACACAUACUUACUAUUUUUGUUUCAUACUAAUUCUAUUUUCAAAUAAAUUAUUCUCUCUCUCUCUAUAUAUAUAUAAAGAACUAAAAAAUAUAAUUUGAAGAAACAUGAAUUAAUUAUUAUCUUUUUUCUGAAAUUUAGAUCCUGAUAUUAUAAAGUAACCGAAAACAAAAUUAAUAUAUUCAUUCAAAUAAAAUUUAUCUUAUCAGAAUUCUAAAAUAUAAAUCAUAUUCAUCUAAAUAUCCAUUAAAAUAAUAGUUGGUUAAAUUAUAUAUAUAUAUAUAUAUAUAUUACCUUUUUCCUUUUUGUAUAAUAGAUGUGAAAUUUUUAAAGAAUGUUUAUGCAGAAAACAAAUCAGCAUAAGAAUUAGUUUGGAUAAGAAAUAAGUUUUGAAAUAAAUUUAUAAAUUUCAAGAUUGAAAUAGAUACCCAACACACAUAAUUACUAUUUUUGUUUCAUACAAAUUCUAUUUUCAUAUAAAUUAUUCUCUAUAAAUAUAUAUAUAUAUAUAUAUAAAGAAAAAAAUAACACUUAAAAAUAAAAUUUGAAUAAAAAAAUGAAUUAAUUAAUAUCUUUUUUCUGAAAUUUAGAUACUUACAUUAUAAAGUAACUGAAACAAAAUUAAUAUAUUCAUUCAAAUAAAAUUUAUCUUAUUAGAAUUAUAAAAUAUAAAUCAUAUUUAUCUAAAUAUCCAUUAAAAUAAUAGUCUGUUAAAUUAUAUAUAUCUAUAUAUAUAUAUUACCUUUUUCCUUUUUGAAUAAUAGAUGUAAAAUUUUUAAAGAAUGUUUAUGCAGAAAACAAAUCAGCAUAAGAAUUAGUUUGGAUAAGAAAUAAGUUUUGAAAUAAAUUUAUAAAUUUCAAGAUUGAAAUAGAUACCCAACACACAUAAUUACUAUUUUUGUUUCCUACAAAUUCUAUUUUCAUAUAAAUUAUUCUCUAUAAAUAUAUAUAUAUAAAGAAAAAAAUAACACUUAAAAAUAAAAUUUGAAUAAAAAAUGAAUUAAUUAUUAUCUUUUUCUGAAAUUUAGAUACUUACAUUAUAAAGUAACUGAAACAAAAUUAAUAUAUUCAUUCAAAUAAAAUUUAUCUUAUUAGAAUUCUAAAAUAUAAAUCAUAUUCAUCUAAAUAUUCAUUAAAAUAAUAGUCGGUAGAUGACAAUCUACUCAUUAGAUAUGAUGUAAGGAUAUUGUCAUUAAUAAAAAUUUGGUAAUUUACUCGGUUCUAGAUGAAAAUUUAGAAGAAGGUGUAAUAUAUUCUCGGGGUUAAAGUCCUUUAGGACUGUAAGAAUAUGAAAAUUGUAUCAUAUCACCUACAUUGAUAAACAUUUGGUCAAGUACAUAAUAUAAAACUCCAAUAAGAGUUUGUUACCAUUUAGGUUUAAGGUUGUCUUUCUCAAGAGCAAUGUCUUUAGACAUAUGUGGAGAGAGAUUGCAUUAAGGUGAUAUCCUAUGCCUCUACAAUGGAUAGUUUUAAGUAUGUGAUGCUACAUAUUGGACUAAAUAUUUGUUUUGUUAUAGGAAUAAUGAGUGGAUAUUAGUCCAUUUCCUCAUUAGAGCUUUUGGUGGAUGUCAAGCAUAUACUCAAGUAUCUUUAGAGAACAAGAGAUUAUAUGCUUGUGAAUCUUUAUGAUGAGUUAGUACUUCUUUCGUAGUUGGAAUUGGACUUCAAAACAAACAAAUUUUAAUUUUUUAAGGUACAAAUGAAUGAAAAGGUACUCAAUUAAGGACAUGAUAUUCUAAAACUUUUUAUUUAAUCUUUGAAAUUUUUUAUUUAAUUUAUAACUAAUUAAUCAGUUUUUAAAUUUCAAAUUAUUCUUAAAAAAUAAGAACAUUUAUUAAAGAAUUCAAAACAUUAUUUAUGUCUAUUAAUUUUUAUAGUCAUUACAUAUAUUUUUGGGUUUCAAAUUAUUUUUAAAAAUUGUUUCUCAAGAACAAUAAUAAACAAUGGUAUAAAUUUUAAGAUGAAUAUAUUUUUAAAUCACACACUAAAAUAGAUUUUUUGAAAACUAUACAUAUUGUGAGAGUUUUUUUAAAAUGAAAAUAAAUAUUUUAACAUUAAAAUAAAAACAAAUAAUUACAACCUUACAUUCCUAAAUACAUACGUAAGAAUUAAAAUUACCAGGUUGUUUCCUAAAUGAGGAAUGAGAAUGGAAAUAUAAAAGUUUCCAUUCCCAUUUCUCAUUCCAGCGCACGAAACACACCUUGAAGGACAUUCAAAUAACUGGAUGCCAACAUCUAACAAUGUACACAGUUCUUCGAAAAUUUAAAUGAAAAUUGACUCCCAUAGGUUAUAAACAACCUACUUAUUAAUAUUCUAUGUACGGGAGACAUGAAAUCAAUAAUAAUUAUUCAUAAUCGCCACCCGCUGACCCACCACCUUCUUCUUCUCCACUAAUGUAAGAACAAAGUCCAUAACCUGCAUUAAUCCACACUACACGUCACAAUUUCAAGUCAUCAUGGAUAUAAAACACACAAUGGUUUUUCAAUUUUGAGGUUAGAAAUAAGAUAGAAAUACUCACUCGGGUCCUUAUGAGUGACUAUUAUGGUGUUCUUGAAAUCGCAGCUCUCUUUGGUGCGACCAUGGCUUUGAUAGUAAGCGUUCAUGGUGAAGGCCGCAUGUGAACUCACGGUGUUAGGCUCGAAGCAUGCCCCACCUUCUUAUAUACUUGAGCAAUCCACUCCGGUGGCGCAUGCAAAGUCUAAAUUCAACUGCAGCGAGGCUUCGGGGGCUUCUUUUUUAGGAAUGCACCACGUUUUCUAUCCUUCAAGAGGCUGCAUAGGAAAUUGAAUCCUCAUGAAACUACCAUUCAUUUCUUAAGUAAUGACACACAAGGCGAACAUAUUUUUACAACUAAAAAUCACCUGGGCUAUCUCAAAUUCCUGCUCUUGCUGGCCUCCUUGUAAACAACUCAACUCGUAGAUGGGACAAAAGUCGGGUUUCAACAGCCCAAAAUUCUGCUAUGAAGGGCCUGAUUUCUAGUUCUCGUUAAACAAAGUGAAAAUGUAGGUUUCCAAUAGGCAUCAAUGGCGUCCCUUUGCCGGAGGCAAUGUGCUUGAUGAGGUUUGCGUUAUAAAGUUUGGUUUCCUCCAUCCCAAUACCUCUGCUAAAGUCACCCAUUGACGUCCACCUUGGCUCCUAGUGAUAUGCACAGUGUAGAUUCAUCCUAAACUGUGGCAGAAUAGGCUAAAGCAAUGGCCUAGAAGCAAGAAGCGUCAAUAAUCCAACAUUUGUGAGCUUCCGAAAAACCUUGCUCAAUGGCAUGUCCAACUGUGAAAACUGUCUUGGUGUCCUCAAAACAAAAUGAACAGAUGCCUGCGGAACUCUAAGUCUAAGGUAUAAAGUUGGAGGUCUCUCUAUGACCUGUGCUGCAUAGCAUGGCUAUACUAGAGCAUGAUAUGAGACUAGAGACCUCUCUAUGCCCGGUACUACAUAACACAAUUGUACUAGUGUGGGAGACGAGUAAGUCUGAUCAUAUGGCCGAGAAUGUGCCCGUGGCCUAUACUGGUGAGGUGAAUUAGAAGGGUAAGCCCUAGCAAGUUGUGAAAUUGACUGAUGACGUCCAAAAGGCCUCUGACUAGUAGAAGUAAUAGUGCUCACAUCUGACCUUUGUCCUUAAAUUGGUUUCUUUCCUUUAGCAUCAACAAGGGAAGAAUCAGACUAUAAUCCUCUCGAAAUGUUAUCCUCCACGUCAUACAACACUGAAACCAAAGAUCUAAAUUCUAUAAAAGGUACUCUGACCACAUGUCUAGCAAUCUUGGGUUGCAGACUCCUCAAAAUCAUUUGUAUCUUAUCUCUCUCCAAUGAUCUAUCAACAAUUUCUGUUAUCUUUCCCCUCCAAUGGGAGAUGAAGGAAGAAACAGACUCAUCUGAUAUCUGUCUCAAAGCCUCUAGUUCUUUCCUCGACACAUUUACAACAGUGUUAAAUGAAAAUUGUCACAAAAACUCCUAAGCUAGGUCAUCCCAUGUCUUACGUCGCGAGGACUCCAAAAAUGUGAACCAACAUUAGGUUAUGCUACUCAUAGAUAAAGGGAACAUGGUGAUCAUCUGUGACUCAUCUAUGUUAAUGUUACCAUAUACAAUUUAGGAAUCAUAUUGGUUGUACAUAUAGGAAUGUUAAUGUUACCAUGUAUAAUUUAGGAAUCAUAUUGGUUGUACAUAUAGGAAAAGAUUGACAGAUUGGCUUACCAUGUAUUUGUUGAUGUUACCAUAUACAAUUUAGGAAUUAGUUAGACUCCGUGUAUAGGAUAUAUAUUUGUAUAUAGAUGGAUGCAGUAAAAAUAUAUAUAAAAAAAAAAGAAUCAGAGUUCUUGGUUUCUUUGGAGUUUUUUUUAGUAUUUUGACAUGAUAUCAGAGCAAGGUUUCGGCACCUUCUGAGUGGAGUUCGUGAUCUUCUACCAAUCAAAUGCUUGGCAUCGAAAAUAGUGUUGAUCGGGUUCAUCACGACCUGGUUCUUGGUCAUUUCUAUUCCAAUUUUCUGGUGGGCUAUUUCCUUUGUCUCUCGGUUGCAUCAUGUCAUCAGAUAAGUUGGAAUAGUUUCCUAUUAGAUUUACUGGAAAAAAUUAUUGUGCUUGGGAGUUUCAAUUUAAAUUAUUUGUCAAAGGAAAAGAAUUAUGGGGUCAUAUUGGUGGGAGUAAUCCUGCACCUCGUGAUGUUGAGGCUUUGUCUAAGUGGGAAAUUAAGGAUGCUCGGGUUAUGACUUGGAUCCUUAGAUCGGUUGAACCUCACCUUGUUCUCAAUCUGAGGUCUUAUAAAACUGCUGCUAUGUGGAAUUAUCUCCACAUGGUUUACAAUUAAGACAACUCUGCUAGGCGUUUUCAAUUGGAGUAUGAGAUGGCUAAUUUCACACAAGGAAGUCUCUCAAUUGAGGAAUAUUUUUUUGGUUUUCAAACUAUUUGGAUUGAUUAUUCCGACAUUGUUUAUGCUAAUGUUCCCACUAUAGCUAUCUCUGUUGUCCAAGCAGUGCAUGUAACCAUCAAGCGAGAUCAAUUCUUGAUGAAGCUACGACCCGACUUAGAAAUUACACGGUCUAAUCUAAUGAAUCGUCAUCCUAUACCAUCUCUGGAUGCUUGCUUGAGCGAACUUCUGCGUGAGGAGCAGCGUAUCGUAACUCAAGCUACUAUGGAACAUUGGGCUAAUGUUAGUGCACCUAUUUUUGUGGCUUAUGCAGCAUAAGGGCGGAAUAAGGGUCGAGACAUGCGUGUUGUCCAGUGCUUUAGUUGUAAAGAUUUUGGUCACAUUGCUCAGGAUUGUCCCAAAAAGUUCUAUAACUACUGCAAGAAACAAGGUCAUAUCAUCUCUGCUUGUCCCAUUUGGCCUAAAAGGAAGUAGGGUAGUGCUUAUCAUGCCUCCACCGGUGCCUCUAGGUCUAUUGCAUUGCCUGUUGCCUCGUUGGUUGUUCAUAUUCCCGCUCCUACAGUCUUAGCAAACCCAAACACACUCACUCUUGAAAUAGUACAACAAAUGAUCAUUUCUGCUUUUUCUAUUUUUGGGUUCUUAGGUAAUCAUACGGUUUCUUCUAAGCCAUGGUAUUUUGACUCUAAAGCUUCUAACGAUAUGAAGAAUACUGUUUUUUUCUCUUUCCAAUGUCAUAAAUUAUGAUGGAAAUCUAAAAAUUAACACUACUGAUGACAAUUAUCUGCCUAUCGGUGUUGUUGGUGAUCUUUCAUCUUCCUUAACUAAUGUUUUUACAUCUCUUGACCUCUCCACAAAUCUUAUUUUUGUUGGUCAAUUGGUUGAUAAUAAUUAUAAUAUCAAUUUCUCCCGUUCUGGUUGUGUUGUGCAGGAUCAAGUGUUCGGGAAGAUGAUCGUGAAGGGGCCUAAAAUGGGAUGACUCUUUCCUCUUCAUGUUUCUCCUUCCACUAUGAUUCCUAGUUUUCUUUUACUUUCCUUUCCAUGUAAUGUUGUUGGUUCUGGACAUAAGAUGUGGCAUAGACGUCUUGGCCAUCCAAACUCUGAUGUACUUCAUCCUUUGUUUAAUUCUGGAUUAUUGGGAAAUAAAACAUGUUCUUUUCUUGAUCUUUCUUUCGAUUGUACGUCAUGCAAACUUGGCAAAAGUAAAGUUCUACCUCAUUCCGCAUCUCGUGCCUCACAAUGUUUUGAUAUUAUACAUAGUGAUGUUUGGAGGAUUGCACCUAUUGUUUCUCAUGCACAUUACAAGUCCUUUGUUCAUUUCAUUGAUGAUUUUAGUUGUUUUACUUGGGUUUACUUCCUUCAGGCUAAGGCUAAAGUUUUUUCAAUCUUUAAGCGCUUUCUUGCACUUAUUGAGACUCAAUUUUCUACCAACAUCAAGGUUUUGCGCUUUGAUUCUGACGGAGAAUACAUGUCUAAUGAGUUUCAGGACUUUCUUCAAAGCAAAUGGAUCAUCUCUCAACGUUCUUGUCCUUCGACACCACAACAAAACGAUGUUGCUGAGAGGAAAAAUUGCCAACUUCUUGAUGUGGUAAGAACUUUUUUACUUGACUCAUCGGUUCUUCCUCAUUUUUGGUGUGAAACACUUUCUACUGCAAUUCAUUUGAUCAAUCGUUUACUCUCUCCUAUGUUAAAUCAUGUUUCUCAUUUCUCUAAGUUGUUUGGUCAUUCUCCUUUAUAUUCUAAUCUUCGUACAUUUGGUUGUGUUUGUUUUGUGCAUCUACCUACUCAUGAACGACAUAAACUAACUAUUUAGUCUGUUAAGUGUGUUUUUCUUAGUUAUGCUAUCCUUCACAAGGGUUAUGUUUAUUAUGAUCCCCAUGCUCGUCGUAUAUGAGUUUCUUGGAAUUUGAUUUUCUUUGAAAAUCAAUAUUUCUUUUCAUCUCAUGUUGAGUUGUCAUCUACAUCUGUAUCUCUUCUGCCUAGUUUUUCUGAUUCCCAAAUAAUUGUGGAAAGGUUCAAACCUGAUUUUGUGUAUGAAAGACGUUGUUGACAUGAGUUUGGUUCCACUUCCUCUGUGCCCCCUUCCGAUCUUGACCCGACGCUCAAUCCUGCUCCUGCUUCCACCACUCUUCGUCGGUCUACUCGUCUUUCUUGACCCCCUGAUUGGUAUGGAUUCUUCUCUCCUAUCUUUCUUGUUGCUACUUUGUCCAUUAUUUCUAUUCUCUAUUGCUAUCAACAGGCCAUGGAACAUGAGUGUUGACAAAAUGUAAUGCAAGCAGAACUUCAAGCACUUGAAGAGAAUCAUACUUGGGAUAUUGUUCUUUGUCCUCCUACAGUCAAACCUAUUGGGAGUAAAUGGGUUUUCUCUGUAAAACUUUUUUCUGAUGGCUUUUUAGAUCGGUACAAAGCUCGCCUCGUAGCUCUAGGUAACAAACAGGAAUAUGGGGUUGAUUAUGGGGAGACAUUUGCUUCUAUUGCCCAAAAUGACCAUGGUUCGAACCAUCUUAACUAUUGCCGCUUCACAGUCAUGGCAACUACAUCAAAUGGAUGUAAAAAAAUGUUUUUCUUCAUGGUGAUCUCCAGGAAGAGAUUUACAUGAAGCUUCCCUUUGGUUAUGACUACUUCUUCUCCUUAUGAUGUUUGUAAGCUAAAACGUUCUUUGUAUGGGCUCAAGUAAGCGCUCCAGGCUUGGUUUGAGAAGUUUCGCAGUACAAUUCUUUCCUUCAGUUUUACCCAAAUUCAGUAUGAUUCUUCUCUCUUCUUCCAUACGUCUGUGUUGGGUAUAAUCCUUUUCUUGGUUUAUGUGGAUAAUAUUAUCAUUACUGGCACUGACUGUGGCUUGAUUACUAAGCUUCAACAGAUGUUACAUACAACUUUCCAUAUGAAAGAUCUUAGACAGCUCACAUACUUCUUAGGAUUGGAAGUUCAUCAUCAGGCUAGUGGUAUUUUCGUGAACCAGCAUAAGUAUAUUCAAUAUCUUAUCACUUUGGCUGGUUUGGAGGACACUUCUUCUGUUGAUACUCCUAUGGAGGUAAAUGCUAAAUACAGGAAAGAUGAAGGGGACCUUCUGGAUGAUCCUACUCUUUAUCGGCGCCUGGUUGGAAGUCUUAUCUACUUGACCACUACUCGACCUGAUAUCUCCUAUGUUGUUCAUCAGGUCAAUCAGUUUAUGAUUUCUCAUUGACAUCUCCAUCUUGCUGCAGUUCAACGCAUCAACCGUUAUCUUUGAGGUUCACCUACUCGUGGGUUAUUCUUUCUUAUCGGCUCAUCUCUUCAACUUGUUGCCUAUAGUGAUGUUGAUUGGGUUGGGUGUCCAAAUACACGUCGAUCUACUACGAGUUGGUGUAUGUUUUUAGGUGAUGCCUUAAUUUCUUGGAUAUGUAAGAAACAAGAUCGUGUUUCUAAAUCCUUUACUGAGGCCAAGUAUUGUGCCAUGUCUACUGCUUGUUCUGAAAUUGUAUGGCUACGCGGUUUUCUUGAGGAGCUUGGGUUUCCUCAGACUACUUCUACACCUCUUCAUGCUGAUAACACUAGUGCUAUUCAGAUUGCCACCAAUCCCCUUUUUCAUGAACAUACCAAGCACAUUGAGGUUGAUUGUCAUUCUAUUCGAGACACCUUGGAAAGUCGGUUGAUAUAUCUUCCUCACAUCUCUUCUGAUCUCCAAGUGGUUGAUAUCUUCACCAAAGCUUUGACUCGACAGCGGCAUCAAUUUCUUGUUGGCAAAUUGUUGCUGGUUGACUUACCAGCAUCAAUUUGAGGGAGGAUGUUAAUGUUACCAUAUACAAUUUAGGAAUCAUAUUGGUUGUACAUAUAGGAAUGUUAAUGUUACCCUGUACAAUUUAGGAAUCAUAUUGGUUGUACAUAUAAGAAAAGAUUAACAGAUUGGCUUACCAUGUAUUUGUUGAUGUUACCGUAUACAAUUUAGGAAUUAGUUAGACUCCGUGUAUAGGAUAUAUAUAUCUUUAUAUAGAUGGAUGCAGUAAAAAUAUAAAAUUUAAAAAAAAAAAAAAAAAACGAAUCAUAGUUCUUAGUUUCUGUGGAGUUUUUUUUUUUAGUAUUUUGAUAAUCUAACCCAUGGGCCCUCAUCACGGUAUUAUUGAGUCGAAGAUGAACAUGAGGACAAACAACGUCCAUGUACCUCUCAAUGUCAGACAUCCUGAACUUGGCCAGUAAAUUGGUCACUGGUAUACUAUCAAGAUCAUCUCAAACAACUAAAAUGUCAAAUACUCUCAACUACCCGAUACGCUGCUUGAUACGAUCCAUGUGUGUGUGAGUAUCCUCAAGGAUCGUGGUGUGUACUGUUGUAGGUGGGACGACCUCAAAUUGACUGUGUAAUAGAUAAGGUGGGGCUUGUGGCACUAUCUGACUAAGUGGUGGUGACAGCAGUGAAUCAUGAGGCACCUCAUCCUAAGCUAUAGGUUGUCUACUCUGCUGACUACCCAUCUCCUGUCUAAGAUUGGUCAAGGCCUCCUAAAUGGAAGCCAUGAACGUUGUGAGUUGGUCAACUAUGACAAACUAUUGAUCCAUGUUUGAUCUCAUGGAAAUACGAACUAAUCCACCUUCUACUUUGACCCAAGAUGGUGAAUUUAGAUUGAGAACGAAGAGUUAAUCCUACAAAGCAUGAAGAACAAGAUAAGGUAUGACAUGGGGAAAACAUGGAAGAAAUGUUAAAUUGAACUAAAAGAAACAAGCCAUCAAAGUGUAGAAGGAUUAUCUGAUUGUAACUUAAACUUGUACUGCUCUCUGAGCAUUCUUAAUUGGAGACUGAAAAUGGAGUACUAGGUCCAAACUGUAACUUAAACUUGUACUGCUCUCUGAGCAUUCUUAAUUGAAGGCUUUCAGAUUGCACCCACGUGUAAGGAAGGAAAUCCUGAUCAAAUGAUCUAAGGCUCACCUUACAAGGUCAAGGUGGCUUUAGAAGGGGGAAAUGUGGACUUUAAAAAAUCCCUACCAAAAGUGAUUAUACUCUUCGAUGAUAUGCAACCCUCUACACAUCUCCGAAGAAAUGGGGCGCUUCCAUGCAAGGUGGUCAUCACCUCCACACAUGCACUAUCUUGACAUCCCAGGGGGUUUCCUAUGGUGAAAACUCUCACAACUCUUAACGCUCAAUAGUCAACUAAAGUGUACGAUGAGCGGUAUGGGUGCAUUCGACAGUCCUAUGAAGCUAAAACAGAAAAUGAAACACAUUGGUCACACAAAUAUCCAUGAAACAUAGCUCUGGGUUAUACAAGUCUUCAAAUAUCGAACUCCAAUCAACAUCAAUAUGUCAACAUCUUCCAAAAUGUUCCCAAACAUCUAUAUAGUCUGUUGCUAGACUUUACUCCUAACCACUGGCUUGCCUAGAGAAACAAGUACACACAAGGCCUCACACUUGCAAAUAUAAGAACCGAAAAGAAAUGAAUGACCAAAACUAAAGGGUUGGAGAUAAAGGGAUAGAUGUGUGACCCACAUAGACAAACAACAUGCAAUCACACAAAAGAAGAGCAGUCAUGCAACAAGCAGUCAAGUAGAGCGCAAAUAUAUCAUCCAUGUCCACACAUAAGCUAAACGAGAAUAUGACAAUCAAAAUGAAUAGUAACAAGGAUAGAUAGCAUGCUCAUAGAUGAUUAAGAUAAUAUACAAGCAAGAGAAUCAACACUAAGACAAACAAGAUAUACAACAAAAUGAACAUACAUGUUAAAGUGAGCAAGAUAAUCAUGGCAAGAGCAUAAUCAAUAUGCUAAGACAAACAAGAGAAUCAAUCAAUAUCAUCAGUCUGUCAAUGUCCCAAAUGGAUAUAGCAGUCAAGCAUAUAAAAUCACCACAUCAAACUCUCAAUGUGCUAUGAUCACUCAAGCAUAGAAAAGCACAAAGAGAAGGUAUCCAUCAACCAACUAAUCAAACGCCACAUUUGUCUCAACUCUAUGAUCCCCAGCGGAGUCACUAUUUUGUGGACCCGCAUUUUUCAUGUGCGUCCCCACUCAAUGGCGAUACUCGCUUUUUAAUUUGUGAAAAAAAAUGAUUUUUAGAAAAGACUUGGAGUCGCCACUUAUUUUUGUUUUAUUUUUUAAAAGGAAAACAAAAUAAGAAAGAAAAACUUGUGUGACUCCUUAUUUGGAAAAAACAUGUUUGCAAAAAAAAUUGAGUCUGGGUUUAGGGGUUAGGCUACUUAUUAGAAAGGUACAAUGGUGAGUCGUGACACCCCUCUAAGCCAAUAAUGAGGUCUUUACUAAUCAAGAUGAGACAAAUAUGACAAUUGAUCAGUUAAUCAUUGGAUACUAAGAAAUGAGAAUCAUGAAAAUAAAGAAUGAAUAAGUAAGAGAAAUUUGAAAGUGUACCUUAGUUGCAAGCUGAGUGCUGAAAGUUUCUUCUCCAACAAGGUAUUUUAGGUUGCAACUCACUGCUCUUUCUUCUCCUCUUGAUCAUUGGAAACCUGGAAUAUUUCUUUGCAUCCCCCCCUCUUUCACCACCUCAUUUCUCCUAUAUCAUCCAACUCACACCUCUAUUUCUUGUUUCCCCUCUAAGCCUCCACCAGCUCUACUGCUCCCCAUUUAGAGAUGUCUCCAUCCUAACUACCACCAUGCUAAGAUAGCAAUGUCUUUUGCUACGCGUCUCAUGCAGCCCACUCACUUGUAGAGGUCGUCCCCCACUAACCAACAUGUUGUCAUUUGCUAACAUCUUCUCUAAAUGCAGCAUGUGCUCCCCAAAACUCCACCAUUUGGCAAAAGAAAAUGGAAGCAAAAAAAAAGGUUCUUCCAAAUAAAGGUCUACAAUAUAAUAAUAGAAUACUUUAUAUAAAAAGUAUAAAUUAAAUUUUAUAUUUUUAAGAAUUACUUUAAAAAAAAAUUGAAAAUUGAAAAAAAAAAUAAUAUCUUAAUUUUUUAAAAUUAUUAUUUUUUUCAAUAUAAAUAUUUAAAAUUCUUAUAUUUUAUAUGAAAAUUAUUAAUAUAUUUCUAUUUAAAAAAUAAUAAAAUAGAAAGUGUAUAUAGGAUACUCAAUUUUAUGCCUAUUAAGAAAUAUUAAAGGUUGCUUAAAUCUAUAUUAAAUUAAAUUACAGUUGACUUAAUUUUACAACCAAUAAAUCAUCACAAUUUAUACUCAAAUAUAAAAAAUGGAUCACCAAAAUGCAUUAAAAAUAUACCAAAUUUAUCCUACAAAUCUAAUAACAUUUGUUAAUUAAAUUAACAGUUAUUUGAUAAAAGGGUUAUUGAAAAUUCAAAUUUGAAAAUUUAGGUCAUAUUUGAUAACUAUUUUUUAAAAUAUUUCUAAAAAAGAGUUUUUAAAAAUAAUUUUGUUUGUUUGAAAACUUAAAAUGUUUUGAACUUGUUUUUAGUAUUUUUAAAUAUAUUUUAAAAAUAAUUUUUAUGUCAAUAACUUUAUUUUUAAUUGUUAUGUAUGUUUAUAUAAUUAUUUUUUAAAAUAACUCUUAGAAAACUAGUGAAAAAAAUUAUAAAAUAUUUUCUAAAAACAUUUUAUUUUUUAUUUUUGAGAAAAAAAUAGUUUUUAAUUGUCAAAUAUGUUUUCUAGUUUUUUUAAUCUAAAAUACAAAAAACUGUUUUAAAAAAUAAUUAUCAAACAAAUUUUUUUUUUUUUACGUUAGUUUGACAAAAAUGUGAUUAUUAUUUUUUCAUAAAAAUCAUUUUUUCUUUUAAAUCAUAUUAUAAAUACUUAAAAUAGUUAAAAUAUAAAAACAUGAGUGAGAAUAAAUCGACGGAUAUGAAAAGUCAUCAUAUUUAACCAUUUAUUUCUUAAAUUAAUAGACAAAAACUAUAGGAUAAUACUAUGCGGACUUGAACUGAGGAGCUGUGGAAAAUGGCGCAAACUCAACAAGCUCUCAUUCUCCUUCCAAAAAUGGUGAAAAGUCCCCCACUCAAAGCUCUCUCACUCUUCACUUCCUCAGCUCUCCAAGGCUUCCAGCACACUCACCAAUCCAUAUCCUUUAUUCUACACCUCCUCAUCUCCUCCAACUUGUUUUCUCAUUCCCAGUCUCUUCUUCUCAAACUCAUCUCUGGUCAAAUCUCUUCUUCAUCUUUCACCCCCUCGUCGCUUUUCCAUGAGUUAACCCAACCCCACUUGGAUUCUUUUCCAACCCAUGUUCUUAUCCACGAAGCAAUCAUCAAUGCCCAUGUUCGAUCCCAAUUACCUGAACAAGCUCUCUUCUAUUUCAAUCAGAUGAUUGGUAGAGGUCUUGUACCCGGAUCAAAUACAUUUAAUAAUCUUCUGAUUCUGCUUAUAAAGUCUAAUUUUUUUGAAAAAGCUUGGCGGGUCUUUAAUGAGACCAAGGGCAAUGUUAAGUUGGAUGUCUAUAGUUUUGGAAUAAUGAUUAAGGGUUGUUGUGAGGUUGGAUAUUUGGAUAAGGGUUUUGAGGUUUUGGGUCAGAUGGAGGAGAUGGGUUUGUCCCCAAAUGUUGUUGUUUACACUACUUUGAUUGAUGGGUGUUGUAAGAAUGGUGAUAUUGAGCGGGGGAAGCAGUUGUUCUAUAAAAUGGGGGAGCUGGAUGUAGUUGCUAAUCAGUACACAUACACUGUAUUGAUCAAUGGGUUUUUCAAAAUGGGCCUUAAGAAAGAUGGGAUUGAGCUGUAUGAGAAGAUGAAGCUUACUGGGAUUGUUCCUAAUGUAUAUACUUACAAUUCCAUGAUUUGUAGAUGCUGCAAUGAUGGCAAAUUGAACAAUGCUUUUGAACUGUUUGAUGAAAUGCGUGAAAGAGGGGUAGCAUGUAACGUUGUGACGUAUAACACCUUAAUUGGUGGUCUUUGUCAAGAAAGGAGGGUUCUGGAGGCUGAAAGAUUGAUGUGUAGGAUGAAGAGGGAUGGCCUGAGUCCUAAUUUAAUUUCGUAUAACACAUUGAUUGAUGGGUAUUGCAGUAUUGGGAAUUUGGACAAGGCUUCAAGCUUAUUCAAUCAAAUGAAGUCAAGUGGUCAGUCUCCAUCUUUAGCUACUUAUAAUAUUCUAAUUGCGGGUUUUUCUGAAGCCAAAAACUCAGCCGGAGUAACUGAUAUGGUUAGAGAAAUGGAAGCAAGAGGCCUUUCCCCUUCUAAAGUCACAUAUACAAUUCUAAUGGACGCCCUUGUUCGAUCAGAUAACAUAGAGAAAGCAUUUCAGAUAUAUUCCUCUAUGGAGAAGGCUGGUUUGGUGGCAGAUAUUUACAUCUAUGGUGUGUUAAUACAUGGAUUGUGUGUGGUAGGUGAUAUGAAGGAAGCAUCAAAGCUGUUCAAGUCAUUGGACGAGAUGCAUUUGAAGCCAAAUGAUGUGAUAUAUAAUACGAUGAUUUAUGGGUAUUGCAAAGAGGGUAGCUCCUAUAGAGCCCUGAGAUUGCUUAAAGAAAUGGGUGAGAAUGGGAUGGUUCCAAAUGUUGCUAGCUAUAAUUCAACCAUACAAAUUCUUUGCAAGGAUGAGAAAUGGACAGAAGCAGAAGUUCUACUUAAAGAUAUGAUAGAGUUGGGUUUAAAGCCAUCCAUUUCUAUCUGGAAUAUGAUUUCUAAAGCCAGGUUUGAUAAUGUAUGAAGGGAGAUUUUGAAUUGCUUUCAUGUAGACUUGAAUGUAUAUAUUAGGGAAAAAAAUAAAUGGAGAAACAGAUGAGAAGAGGCUACAAUCAAAUUGCCUAAAUCUUCUGAUGUCCCUGCUUCUCUCUCAAGGGGUUGAUCAUUGCCUCAUUUUUAGGUCAGCCUCAUAACCUCCUUACAUUAUGAUAAGACUUAUUUAAUCUCUAUUUAGUUUUGACAAAAUAGUUUGUGAAAAUAUAUACAAACCUAGACUAGCUGCUUCAUCGUGGGGCGGGAUUGAACAGAAAUUUCAUCAAAUUUCACCAUUUCAUGUCCAUCUCAAAAUUUUCUGCUUCUUAACUAUAGUGGUUUUAUUAUCACCAACAGAGUUACAGUAGCAAAUUGAGCCAUUGCACUCUGUUGAAGCUCUGGAAACUCACUUCUUGCAUUGGCAUUUCUUCACUAACACCAAUUAAAUUUGGUGUGACUUAGGCAGUUUACACAGUGCUUUUUUUAGUUCUGCUUCUCUCAUAAGUUUUUUUUCUUUGCAUCAGGAUAUUUGAUUUAAUGAGUCUACAUUUUCUUUGUUUCUAUUGCAAGUCAUACUCUAACCGCCUCUCUGCAUUUAGACAUGUAUUGCAAUGUAUCUUCAAUCGAGUCUUGACCAUCUGAAAUCUAGUUGGAAUGUUUCACAUAUAGGAGGAAGUCAAUUCCACCUCUUCGCAAUGAGUUCUAUGACUUGCUUGAAACCAGCUCAUUUCCCCCUUGCAGGUGUUACUGAGCAGCUUAAUUAUGACUCCAGAAUUUGGCUCAUUGAGAAUGCAAAGAUGAUGUUUUAGCCCAUGUUCAGAGGAUGGACAGCCCAAUAUGACAUAGAAAACCUAAGAGCAGACUUGGAAAAAGGAGUGGUUCUAUAACUUCAAAUCUUAUUCAAAAUCUACCUGUUGGCAUGGAAGAAGCAGAUUGUUUUCAUGUCCUCCCAACCAUUGUCUCAAAUCUCUUGAGACUGAUGUCCAAGCCGAGGCACAGUAGAAGAGGGCAAGUGGCUUUGAAAGCAUCAUCAAAUUUGCUCAAUCCUUGCAAGUUCCUCAGGAGGAAAGGAGAUUCAUAGCUUGGGGUUUCAUCCAUCCCUUCUUAUGUCCAUUUGUGUUAUAUAGCUUAGCUGCGAAUGCAUAUAAAUUUGAUCACAUGCUAAAGAGGUGGGAUUAUUCAGAAUAGAGAAGAAAGUUACCAAGAUACCAUGAUAUGUAUUCUAAUCUAGGUUUUCCAAUGGUUGAAUUUGGAUCAAGCCCCACAUAACUGAAUAGUGUAAACUUUGAUUCAGAAAACAUUUCUUUGCAAGAGGCAAGAGCUGCAGCAACAAUUUGUUUAUGAGUCCUCAAGAACUCUCAUUUGUAAGAACAAAUUGAAAACUUGCACUAUGUUUGGUUUUUGAAAAAUAAAGAAAAAUACAAAGGAAAUAAAACAUGAAGGAAAAGUAAAAGGAAAGGAAAAAUAAAUUUAAAAUUAAUAAAUUAUUUUUCUAUUUUAUUUAUUUUAAUUCAUCUAUAUAAGGAUUAAAUAUUUUAAAAAUAUAUAAAUUUUUAACUAAUUUUAUAAUAUAUAUAUAUAUAUAUAUAUAUAUAUAUAUAAUCAUUUAUCUUAUCAUUUUUUACUAUUUUUUGAAAACCAUUAUUUUGUUUUUAUUUUUCUAAACAACAUUUCGAGAUUAUUUUUUAAUAAUUUAUUUCUUUUUAAUAAAGAAUUUUAAUGAUUUUAAAAAUAUGUAAAUAUAUUAUUUAAUAUUUAUAUGUAAAUUUAAUUAUAAUUCUUUUUAAAAAUAUUUAAAUAUAUAUCAAAUAAAAGAUUAUUUAAAUCAAAUUAUACAUCCAUAUUUUUCAAUGAAGUAAAGACACCAUGUGAGGAAAAUGUGAGAGUGAGGAUUUUUGAAAAAUGGUUCCUUUUUCUUGUCUUAAAAAAGUUUGUGGGUACGAGGAAAAAAAUGAAAAUACAAAGAAAGAUAAAUAAAUAAUUGUUUUAAAUUGAAAAUAGAAAUUUUACUAUUUAAUUAUAUAUAAAAAAAUUGUUGUUUUCAUAUCACUAACUAAUCCGGAAAAUCUUUUUAAAUCCUUCUGACUUAUGAAGUGGGGGAAGGAAGCAAAAGACAAAUUAAAUAAUUAUUUUUAGUUAAUAUUUAAAUUUGAUAUAAUAUCAUAAAACAACAAUGUUCAGGUGAUUUCUAUAAAUUUCAAUUUUUUUAUUUAUUUUAAGAUCAAAAUCCAAAUUAUCCAAAUAUCGUAUUUUUAAUUUGGAUUUUGGGUACAAAUUCUGAGUCUCACUCACCAUAAUGGCAAUCUCUGCAUUGGGUGGAAAUAGUCAUCCCACGUCGAACGGGUCGGAUCCAUCGGAACCCGGUCAAGUGCACGGAACCCUAACCAGCUCACUGACGGACCGCCUGUGUCGCUUAAUCGAGACAAACGCGGAAGCUCAAACUGUCAAAGGAAAGCGAGAAGACAACCUUAAAACAGCGUCAUAUGCGCCUCAAGCAUCGGAAGACAAUCACAAAAAUCUAGUCGAUCCGCCGGAGGAUCCCCUGUUGAAAUCCAGCUGCUUUAUCGAGACCAACGUGGUCAGAAAUGGAGAAACACUGAUCGGAGCUGAAACUGUCGAUCUCCAAACGGCGUCGCACGCGUCUCAAUCAUGCGGCGUCGGUGCGCCUGACGGCGAUUCAAAUUGGGCAGGGGAGGUGAGGCCGUCAUUGGACAAUUCUGCGUCUCAAUCGGAGUCUCAGCCGCGGCGAGGGAGGAAGAGAGCUUCGGAGGCGACAGCGAGUAUGGCUUCAGUGGAAAGGGAGGACUGGUUGCCGCCGGGUUGGAUUGUGGAGGGCAGGGUUCGAAGCUCUGGUGCUUCUGCUGGAUCGAGAGAUAAGGUUGAUAUCGUAUCUCAAAAUACUAUUCUUAUUUUGAUCUUCUGUUUGGUUGCUGAGAAAAUAUCGCCAGGAAAAGAUAGGUCUUUAUGUAUUUCCAUGAAAAAACAGAAACCUUUGGGCAUAUGCGGCUAAACCAACUAUUUGGCUUAAUUGAAGCGAAUUUCAUUUUUCAGAAACCAAAUCAACUAAAGAAAAACGAAAAGCAUGAUUUAUAAUUUAAUUUUCUUUUUAUUUUUUCUGGUUUUCCGGGCAACCAAACAGACGCAAAAUGACAACUUUACAUGGGCUUCCUGAAAUAAAAAUCAUAGCCCGUUGCUGUUUCUUGUUAGUGUAAUUCUCUCUGAAUAUAGUUAUUAUUUUUUGAGGUUCUUAAAGCAUUGUAGGAUUGUUGCGGUGUUUUCUAUCCUCUUUUGUCAAUCUAGUCUAGCAACCUGCUCCUCCUCUGCAAGAUCAAGGAAGGAUAAUGAGACUCUGGCCAACACAGUGGCCGAAGUCCGUUUCCAUGGCUCAAUAAGAAUUGGGUAUUUAGUGGAACGAAACAAACAACAGAAAUGGAAAACUUGUCAUACCUGUUUAUGGAAAAUCUGGUUUAUAUUAGAGAGGCUUCCUGGCUUUGGAAUGGGACAGCUGAACUUGCCAGCAAUGGGAUAGUAAUUGGCAUGUGGGUGCUGGCAUUAAAUGCAUUGCUAUGGUGGUUGAGGUCAUUAAUGUGCAUCUGGUCUUAGCAUGGUGCCAUUUAUUCACAUAGAGAUCAUUUAUGGUUUCGAUUGGGAUUUUCUCAGAUUUCAUUUGCUCAAUAUCCCUCUCUUAGUUUCUUCUGUUUCUGUCCCCAAUGAUACAUCACACACCACACAUGGUUUUCCUUGGACAAUAAAAGUUGCAAUUGCAUUUUGCCCUUACAAUUUCCCCUCUUGGGAAAAAUUGUCUAUAGGUAGGAUAACAAAUGUCUUACAUGUCACAUGGAUGAUCCAUGUUUGUUAGUCUAAGUGAUACACAUAGGGUUUUGAGGGAUGUUGGUAUCACAUUAAGCAACAUGUCAUUUUGUCUCCUCACAAUUGCUCAUUGUUGUAAGUUUUGGUCAUUUUCUUUUAUUUUAUACCUUCCUUCAGCCAUGACCCUUUUCUUUUUUACCUUCUCCCUUUUGUCUCCUUGUCUUUGCUUUCCUUCUAGUUUUAAAUCUCUUGCUUUCGUCCUUCAUUGCUCACUCUUUUUUUUGUUUCAUCGUAAGUAAUAGGGAUUCGUGAUCCAAUACUCUAGGGAUUUUCAAAUCCUUGAUUUUGUUACCAUCAAUGACCCUUUGGAAAGAAGCAUUGUAGAGGAGACGACUACCAAUAGUGGUGAAAUAUAUGUCCUCAUUGGACAUUUCCGUGUUGGGUCCAUUGCCCUUUUUGAUGAUAGUAUGUCAUUUCUAUUGGCGACAUUUCGCCAAAUCCAUUUGGGUUUAGAUGAGAUUAGUGAUUCUAAUAAAGGAAUUCAUAUUAGGCUUGAGAAGCUUUUGUGUUUUUACCAAAUCAAACUCCACAAGUCAAGGAACAUGUCCCCACUUGGCUACUAAGAGCUUGUUAUGAGACCCUGACUUGGAUAAGGUAUAGGAGGGUAACAAGUUCGUGCUCUUUUUUGGUUUUUUACAAUUUGGAAGGGCUUAGACCAUGUUACUUCAACUCGCAGAUUCCUUGAUAGAUAGGAAGAGAAGGAAGUUGUUUCAUUUCCAAUAUCUUUUUAUGUCACUGCAUUUUUCGGUCCUUAGCUUACCCAUUUCUUUUUCUUAUGGUUGUAGGUCCUUGUGGUCAUCAGGUAGGCUUCAUGUCUUUUAAAGCUAUCAAAUGGUAGAAACUACCCUUUGUCUUGAAACCACCCUAUGUAACUUUUUCUCAUUUGAAGUCAUUUGACUUUUGAUUUCUAACCUGUAUGAUUGUGAGGAUGUUUCAACGAGUUGUUUGCCAAAAGGCGUUUGACUCAAAGGCUACCACAUCAUUGAAGAAUGCCCUAGUGCCUCUAGUAACCUACUAGGCAUGCUUAGAGUAGGAGAGAGGAAUCUAGGUUGAAGGCAUGUGGGGACACCCAUCCAAGAUCUCCUAGCCUAUUAAGCCAUCCAUGAUCUUGCAUCAAAGUCCUCAGGAGUAAAGUUCAAAGGUUCCUCCCAAAAAAAAAAAGAAAAGGCAUUGGCAUAGACUAACAGGCAAGCCUUGAGAGUGUAGCACCAUCUUAUCAACAAGCUAGCUUGCUAAAGAACAAGAUAAAGAAGGCUUUAGCUAAUCCACCUUUGUCAGUUUGGUGGAUUCAAAAGCUGAGGACAACUACCACUCUUUGUUAGAGGUACCCCAAUGAUUGAAGCUCCCAAAUUAGCAUUUUUUUUUUGUUACGCCCCAUAACUCAUAUUGCUAUUCUUGCUUUUGAAUCACUUUAGGCCUUGGCAUGUUACAGUGACCAAAUUUGUCCUUCCAUUCUAGAUAGUUGUUUAGUGAUUGAUUAAGAAGCAAAAGAUGAUUGAUCAAGAAGAAGAAGAGGAAAAGAAAGAAAUGAUUUUAAAGAUAUCCCCUAUGACAUAUCAUUGACAUGUCUCCUCAAGGGGUCAUCUUUUUCUCUAAUCAAUAAGAGGUACCAAAGAUGCAAGAGCAUUUUUCUAAGGGUCAAGUCUUUGACUUUGCUAUGGAGGUUGAUUCAUUAUACUAUGAUCCUUUGGAUUCUUUUGGCAACUAGGAUACAACACUUUUAUUUUUGCUCAUUUUCUCUUCAACCUCAGUGAAAUGGGAUUUUGACCGCUAGUAAGUGGUGACCCAUUUGGUUUGUCAUCUACUCAUCAAGUAACCCUCUAGCAUUACCUCAAAAUCUUAAGUUCUUAUCCUUGUUUUUUCAUAUUUUGUUCAUCUCUCUUGUUAUUGAUUUUUACCUUCUAUAAAUAUGGUAUGAUGCUCUUGAGCAUCAUAGGAUGGUGCAAGUUUGACAUUUGGUUGAAGCAAGAAUAAAAGCUACUAAAGCUUAUUUGAACCACAAACAAUCAAGCCCACAAGCAAACUUAGAAGACGGUGAAUAUACCAAAGGGGAAAUUGACAAACUCUAGGCUUAAUGUUGAAGCUAAAGACCUUCUAAUGAUCUAGGAGCAAGAAUCUAAGCAUCAUCUAUCAUCCUUGGUCACAUGUGUAGAUGUUUUGAAUAAGGAGCGUUAGAGUAGCUUUAGAAAAGGUGAAGGC
rnacentral:lncRNA from 1 species